AUGAAUCUAACAAUUACGAGUAAUGUCUUUGUGACAAGAACUUUCUUUGUCUUUUAUUCCCAUGUUUGAACUAGUAUAGGUCGGGGUUACACAUUAUGGUGCACAUCACUUUAUUUAUCAUCGUUACAUUGAACGCUCAUUGACUAAACAACGAUGAUCCAUCCAUCUUGUAUUGUAGGUCUUCAUUUCAUUGGCCACCGAUGCUUGUAAGACUAGUCUCAUAUGGUUGUUGUUGUGGAUAUGGUUGUUGAGGUUGGUGUGGUUGCUGGGGUUGCUGGGAAAUUGUUUGUUCUGGUUGCUGGGAUAAUUGUUGUUGGGGCUGUAGAAAUGGUUGUUGUGGUUGUUGGGGUAAUGGUUGUUGUGGUUGCAGGAUGGAUGGUUGUUGGGGUUGCUGGGGUUGGGGCUGGGGAAAUGAUUGUUGUGAUUGUUGGGGUUGCUGGGGAAAUGGUUGUUGCGGUCCUAGGAGGAAUGAUUAUUGUGGUUGUUGGGGGAAUGGUUGUUGNNNNNNNNNNNNNNNNNNNNNNNNNNNNNNNNNNNNNNNNNNNNNNNNNNNNNNNNNNNNNNNNNNNNNNNNNNNNNNNNNNNNNNNNNNNNNNNNNNNNNNNNNNNNNNNNNNNNNNNNNNNNNNNNNNNNNNNNNNNNNNNNNNNNNNNNNNNNNNNNNNNNNNNNNNNNNNNNNNNNNNNNNNNNNNNNNNNNNNNNNNNNNNNNNNNNNNNNNNNNNNNNNNNNNNNNNNNNNNNNNNNNNNNNNNNNNNNNNNNNNNNNNNNNNNNNNNNNNNNNNNNNNNNNNNNNNNNNNNNNNNNNNNNNNNNNNNNNNNNNNNNNNNNNNNNNNNNNNNNNNNNNNNNNNNNNNNNNNNNNNNNNNNNNNNNNNNNNNNNNNNNNNNNNNNNNNNNNNNNNNNNNNNNNNNNNNNNNNNNNNNNNNNNNNNNNNNNNNNNNNNNNNNNNNNNNUGCAGGGGGAAUGGUUGUUGGGGAAUUAUUUGUUCUGGUUGCUGGGGGAAUGGUAGUUGGGGCCGGGGAAAUGGUUGUUGGGGUUGCUGGGGGAAUGGCUGUUGUGGUUGCAGAGGGAAUGAUUGUUGGGUCUGGGGAAAUGGUUGUUGUGAUUGCUGGGAAAAUUGUUGUUGGGGUGUGGGAAAUGGUUGUUGCGAUGGAUAUGGUUGCUGUGAUGGAUAUGGUUGUUGUGGAUAUGGCUGUUGUAGAAAUGGUUGUUGUUGAUAGGAAAAUGAUUGUUGAGGUGAUUGUAAUUCUUUGUUGCUAGGGUUUAGCUGCCUAGCGGCAGUGGCGAUGUUCAUCGCCAUGGCAAGGAGGACAAAGAUGAGGAAGGUCUUCAUGUUGGAUUUGUGGUUACUACUGCUUGCUUGCUUUUGAUGCUUGUGGUCUAGGUGUGUGAAGUUUGGAUGAUGAAAUGUGGUCUUGGUGGUGCAUGUGUAUUUAUAGUUUUCAUGGCAUGGCUUGCUUUCUUCUUCCCACUCGCUUUUUGAAAAAGUGCACCAAUGCUUAUCCAACUAAUCAUUUGAUUUGUUGUGUUUGGUGCAACUACUUACUAGCAAGAUUUUGGAUUUUCAUGAUAGUUGCUUUUUGUUGAAAUCAUCUGGUUGUAAGGAAUGUUGGAUAAUGACCAAUGACUCAUCUUCUUCACUUUACACUGCAAACAUUGAUCUAAAUUAUAUCCUUUUUUGAAAUUUAGUUUGUGAAGCUCUACAUGUUGUUAGGCUUAUCUAUAUUGGCAUAGCUUGAGUGGAAUUAAGUUUGUAAGCUUGUGAGCGUCAUUAUGAUGGAUCACACUAUUAAUGUGAUGAUUGUACUACAAAUUAUCUUUCCAAAACUAAUUUUAUGUUUUUUCCCAAUAUGAUUCUAAGACGGAUAACCAGACAUGACUCAUCAAAUAACAAGAUAAACCGAGUAGCAAAUUGGGGUUAUAAGUUAUAACAUGGACUUUUCUCUAAGAUACACUAUCUUGUCUUGCAUGCUCUGUGAAUUUGAAAAGCAUCUACUAAUUUAUAUGCAAUUGAAACAAAAGUAGACCAGAAAGAUAAGCAAUGAAAUGAGAAUACUAUUAUGUGAAGCUCUACAUGUUUGGCAAGCAAUAAGAUACUGGAUACAUCUAUAUCUUCAAUCCUGACAAUUUUUCUCAUCCCUAUCAACUCUUUAUUGGCUGCCUUUACUGUAGUCAUCCCUUAAAUAAAAAUCACUUAAAGAUAAGUUUGGGAGCUAGUACCAGCAUCUAUCAUGUACAAGAUAAAAAACUAAGGCACAUAUAGUAGUCUAUUGACUAUAUUUAAUUUCAUGUGAUGUGAAAGCAUGUGGAGUAUAAGUUGGUUAAAUAUAAAAUUGUCCUUCAUACCAGUAGGGAAAGAAUAUGCAGUAUAAAGAUUAGAGCAUUAUUAAUAUGCUAUUAAAUGCUACAGGAUAAUCGAUAGUUCAAGUUAAGAACAACAAUAGCAUUCCAACUUUUGUUUUGUGCAAGUUAAGAACAUGCUAACAAAGUAACCUAAGCAAAUAAGUGCAACACCUUCACCUAUAAGGAAAUUUUGAAACUACACAAAAUGACCUAUUGUAAAGAAGGAAAAAAAUCUAAAGGUGAAUGAAAAGCAUGUUAAGUACAUUCAGGAUUCGGUUAUGCCUUCAUGGAUAACCUUUUAGAUGGUGACUUGUCAACCUUGAUGUGUGUCGGCAUGGAACGAGGACAAGAAGACAUCGUUACGUCGUACUUUGGGAAUUUCAUCAAACUGGUUGUGUGCGGGAACAAAUAUUUGUCGCCUCCCUGCUCAAAUCUCUCUUCAUGUCACUAAAUCCGACACUCCACCUACCAAAAUCAGCUGCAAGCCAGGGACAAUCAACAGGUUUCUCCGCCCGUAGCAUCUAUCACCAAAAGAAGUUCAGACUAUAGUCUUGUAGUUUAAAAUUUUGUAAUAACAAGCACUACUAGGUUGCUCUUGUUUGUACGUCUUCAUUAUGUACAACCCAUGGAACUUAAAAUGCAUGGGUCAUUCUUCGGUAUAUACAACCAAUGCAACCAAACAUGCAUUGGGCUUUUCUUUGUACAUCUUCAGGUUCUACAACCAAUGCAACAAAAAAUCCAUUGGGCAGUCUUCCAUUCUAGUCGGGCACCAAUAGUUAAACGAGGAGCUAAACAGUGUUGGAGUCUAAAACUACAUACAAUCAUGAAGCAGAGAGAUGCGACUUGGAAGUUGUGCUCCUGUGAGCUCGUAUUUUUGAAGAAAAAAGUAAUAUUUGUAUUUUGAAGUGGGAAAAAGUCCUAAAAAGGGAUGUUUUGCGGGUUAUAACUUACUAUUUUUGAGUCCUGGGCUGCAGGAAGGUCGUAAAAAAUCAAUGUGUUUUCCCAUUCAUGCAUGUUUCUUGGGUUAUAGGUCACGCUUUUGGUGUCCUAGGGAGAUCACUUCCCCAGUUGGGAACAUUAGGUGAUGAUUUUUAGCAAAACUCAUUGUUUUAGCCUAACUAGUUUCGAGGAUUGGUGGACAAGAUUAUCAUGGAACAAAGUGACAACCUUCCUUUUCUUCAUGCCUAAUAUAAACUUAGCAGUCAACUAAAAGUAACUAGCGAUAUCACAGAAUGUUUUUUUGUCAAAAGUAGAUACCACUUCAGGAUUCAACUCGGUUAGUUCAAUCAUAGACAUGUUAAGAGCAGGAUUUACAACUAACUGCAUAGGGAACAUCUCCUUUUAUCGCCCACUAUCUGUCUAUGCACUUUGGUUUUCCCGUAGCAGCACACAAAGCACUUUGUUAGUACCAAUAAUGUGCUCCAACUCUACACAUUAAUCAUCUUGAAUUCUUCUACUGAUGUCGAACAAUGUUAUAUCUUGAAUUCUUCUAACGAGUUCAGAUUAUACUACAUGGGCAAUUUAUCUGGUCCCUGAGAUGCAAGGUCGAUGAACAAUCGCUUCGUCUGAUGAUGAGGGAUUGUUUUUGCCUAAGAAACCAAUACAUGUAACUUCGACGCCAGAUUAAUAAUUGGUAAAACCCAAAUAAAUUAGAUCACGAGCUAAACCAUUUAAUUUUGUAUGCAUUUAAACUUUUGAUACAUAUGAGCUUGUUAAGAUGUUCGCAUAAACACCAUGGUGAUUUGAAGCAAGACAAAGUAAACUUGAACCGCUUGAGCCACUGACUUAAUAAGAACCUCCUUUCCCGUGGCAGAGAUCGUUUUUAAUACAUCCACUCACUUUGGUUCUCUUAUGAAAUCUAGAUUCCUUCGCUAAGGCUAUUGCUCCAGUAUUGUCACAAAAGAUUUUUGUUGGACCCGAUGCACUAGGUAUGACACCUAGAUCGGAUAUGAACUCCUUCAUCCCGACUCCUUCAUUUGCUACUUCCGAAGCAGCUAUGUACUCCUCUUCACAUGUAGAUCCCUCCACGACGCUUUGCUUGAAACUGCACCAACUGACAGCUCCACCAUUCAAUAUAAAUACGUAUCCGGUUUGUGACUUAGAGUCAUCCAGAUCAGUGUCAAAGCUUGCAUCAACGUAACCAUUUACAACGAGCUCUUUGUCACCUCCAUAAAUGAGAAACAUAUCCUUAGUCCUUUUCAGGUAUUUCAAGAUGUUCUUGACCGCUAUCCUAUGAUCCACUCCUGGAUUACUUUGGUACCUCCCUGCUAAACUGAUAGCAAGGCACACAUCUGGUCUGGUACAUAGCAUUGCAUACAUGAUAGAACCUAUUGCUGAAGCAUAGGGAAUGACUUUCAUUUUCUCUCUAUCUUCUGCAUUGGUCGGGCAUUGAGUCUAACUCAACUUCACACCUUGUAACACAGGCAAGAACCCUUUCUUUCCUUGAUCCAUUUUGAACUUCUUCAAAACUUUAUCAAGGUAUGUGCUUUGUGAAUGUCUAAUUAACCGUCUUGACCUAUCUUUAUAGAUCUUGAUGCCCAAUAUAUAAGCAGCUUCACCGAGGUCUUUCAUUGAAAAAUUCUUAUUCAAGUAUCCUUUUAUGCUAUCCAGAAAUUUCGUAUCAUUUUCGAUCAACAAUAUGUCAUCCACAUAUAAUAUCAGAAAUGCUACAAAGCUCCCACUCACUUUAUAAAGGCUUCUCCAAAAGUCUGUAUAAAACCAUAUGAUUUGAUCACACUAUCAAAAUGUAUAUUCCAACUCUGAGAGGCUUGCACCAAUCCAUAAAUGGAUCACUGGGCUUGCACACUUUGUUAACACCUUUUGGAUCGACAAAACCUUUUGGUUGCAUCAUAUACAACUCUUCUUUAAGAUAUCCAUUAAGAAAUGCAGUUUUGACAUCCAUUUGCCAAAUUUCAUAAUCAUAAAAUGCGGCAAUUGCUAACAUGAUUUGGACAGACUUAAGCAUCGCUACGGGUGAGAAGGUCUCAUCAUAAUCAACUCCUUGAACUUGUCGAAAACCUUUCGCAAAAAGUCGAGAUUUGUAGACAGUAACAUUACCAUCAUCGUCAGUCUUCUUCUUGAAGAUCCAUUUAUUCUCUAUGGCUUGCCGAUCAUCGGGAAAGUCAACCAAAGUCCACACUUUGUUCUCAUACAUGGAUCCCAUCUCAGAUUUCAUGGCCUCAAGCCAUUUCGAGGAAUCUGGGCUCAUCAUUGCUUCCUCAUAGUUUGUAGGUUCAUCAUGGUUGAGUAACAUGACCUCCAGAACAGGAUUACCAUACCACUCUUGUUGGGAAUAUGACUACCAGGUAUGACCCGCCCAGGAGGGGCCGGGUCAAUCCUAAUGGCGGGUUACUAAAAGAAGCUCAGUGAAUAUACAAGGCGAUAGUUUAUUAUAAGACUUGUAGUAGGACCAAGCCCAAAGGCGGGUUAAGGCCCAUAAUUGUAAACCGCCAUGUAUAAGAAAGAAUUGUAAAGAAAGGCAUGUAAGAGAAGUCACCGAGCCGGGCACGUUAUAUGAGCCGGCUGGGACUCUGUAGGCCGCCAGGCGUCAACCCGUGUAUAUAAGGGGACGACCCGGUGGCGGCUUAGGGCAAGUAACAUCAAAUCGAGAGCCAUGCAUAGCGUAUUUGCUCCCUGGUCAUCGAAACCUAGCAAUACCACAUCAACUGGACUAGGCUUUACCUUCACCGUAGGGGGCCGAACCAGUAUAAACCUUUCGUGUCCUUUGUCCCGAUUAACCCCUUUAAGCUUCCUAGUUGCGAUGGCUCCACGACUAAGUCCUUUCAGUAGGACAUCUGCCGUGACAAUUCCACGACAGUUGGCGCCCACCGUGGGGCCAUCGCACGAUGGAUUUGAGUUCUUGAAGGGCAGCUUCCAAGGGCUCAAGGGAUACGCUGUGGGCCGGAUAACCAAAAGUUGUCACAGCAAGCUCUACAUCGACGACGCAGGCUGGGGCCCCGAGGCUGGCUCAAUCGAGUACGGGUACCGGGUCCCCUUCGGCGGAAUCCACGUCUUCAUCGGCCGGAUCGGCGAGCCGGGCCCUGAGUCGGACAUCUGCACCGACCUCAUCGAGAUGGCUCAGCGAGUGAGACCUGCCCGGGCUCAACCUGCCGUGAGGCGUGCCUUCGUGGGUUGCAUCCAUGGAGGGGAAUUUUCUGAAGGAUCGAUGGACGGUGGUGAGACAGUCGUUUGCUCUAGCAGUGAGUCGUCCAUAGGCGAGACAGAUUCUUUGUAUCAGCUACAAGAUGGCGGGCUUGGGGGCUGUUCCGAUGGCAGUAGUAUUCCGGACCCCUCUGAGCCGCCGAAUCGAGCCGGAGUCUUCAUGGCUGGCACUCAACCUGGUUAGAAUUCUAUGGCUGCGGCAGCAAUAACCACUGGGUCAGCAGGGGCCGGGUCAGGAGACCCCGCGCGCCCACCGGCUCAGGUACUAAUGGACCUCAUGGAUAGGAUGACGGCCCUGUUGACUGCUGUGGUUGAGCCGGCAGAUAAGGCUCAGCAUGACGCAGAGGUAGCACAGCUACACAGAGAGGUAGCACAGGCCAAGGAAAAUUUAGUGGCGGAAGAUGUCAGGAUGGCCGCGGAACGGGCGGCUCUGGAUGCACGGGCUCGGCAGCUUCAAGCGAAGACUUUCUGGCUCUCGGUGGAUCUGAACGCAUCAAACGAGGUCACGAGGAGAAGGCACCAGAAGGCUCAAUCAUGUCUGCCUCUGACUUACGAUCCUAGGAACCUUUUUCACACACCCGGGACUGGUCCCAGUAACCCGCUGAAGGCAAACCGGAUCACAACACCCGGGACCGGGACGCCGGUUCAACCGCGGGCCAUGGAACCACCGCGUGUGAAUACUGCUCUGCCUCACUACACAGCGAUACCACCGGGUCACUUCUCUAACCCCUUGGAGAACCUUAUUGCUGCGUCGGCUCAUCUGGCGGCUCUCCCGAUGGAAGGUGACUCUUCGACGGCGAUCGAGACACGACGGGUCAGAGAACUUCUUCAGACGGCUCUGGCACAGCAGGAUGCAUAUUCUUAUAGUUGAGAUAGAAUCCAUUCAACCCCUCGCCCAAGCCGGAGCCCAAGCUAUAGCAGGCAUAUGGACUCGGCGGCCAUGUCAAGCAACACCCAGCGCCGUAACCAUCCACGUGGGCGUGACCCGGCCCCGGGCGGAGCUUGUAACUUGGUAGACCAGGAGAGGAUCCGUCAAGAGGCUGAACGGGUGGUUCAACAGGCGGCUGAGCAAGCGGCUCACCAAGCUUUUCCAAUUUAUACAGUGACCUCUGUUGAAGCAGGGGUGGCCACAAGGACAGGAGGAGUCCCUUGUCUUGUGCAGUCUCUGCGUAAUGAGCGUUUACCAAAGGACUUUAAGGGGCCUCGUAAGGUGCCCAAUUACACAGCCGACCUGCAGCCCGGAGCAUGGAUUGAAAGUUACGAGAUGGCCAUGGAGUUAUUAUAAGUCAGUGACGCAGCAAUGGCCAAAUACUUCACCAUGAUGUUGGAUGGAACAGCUCGUACUUGGUUAAAGGGGUUACCGCCCAACUCCAUCGGCUCAUGGGCGGAGUUGAAGGCACGGUUCAUUCAGAACUUUAAAGAUACCUGUAAACAGCCCAUGUCAAUCGUGGACUUGACUAACUGCAAGCAAGAGGAAGGCAAAUCCAUGACCCAUUGGGUGCGCCGGGUCAAGGAAAUAAUACAUUCAUCUGAUAAGAUGGAUGCCAGCUCCACGGUCUUAAUGUUGGAGAAAAAUUACCGUUUUGAACCUCUGAAACAGAAGCUGGGGCGGCUCAAGCAUGAUUGUAAUGACAUGGGCCAGUUGAUGGCGGCUCUGGUCAAAUAUGCUGACUCUGACAGUACCAAGGAUCCCAUGUCUGACGAAGAGAAGACGAGGAAGGGAAAGAAGAACGGCAACGGCAAGGGUCACCAGCAUAACCCGACAAAUCAAGGAGGUAAUAAACGCAAGGCUGACGAGUUUGUGGCUAACACCAAUGCACAUGGCAACAACCAAUGGCGCAAGGGGAGGCCACCUCCUCGGUCAGGCGGAUCAGGUCCCACCCUCGAGCAACUACUAAAUGAACCCUGUCCGGGACAUGGCACCCGGGAGAAGCCGGCUACCCAUCUGUGGAAGGAUUGUACGAUCAUGAAGGCUUUUAAGAAUUCUAACAUGUUUGAUGGUAACCACGGGCCUGCUGGCGGCUCAGGCGGUGGCGGUUUUCAUGGCCAAGGCCAUCCGGGUAGUCAAGGCGAUUAUAGUCAGCAAUCCGGCCAGGGCAGUCAGCAACAGCAGCAACAGCCCGUGUAUCAGAGUAACCCAAAACAGCUGAACAGUGGACAGUACCAUGUGUUUACCACCAGUUUGUGCAAGAGGGACCAGAAGCUUCAGAAGAGGGAUGUAAAUGCUAUUGAGCCGGCGGUUCCACGUUAUUUGAGAUGGUCUGAACAACCUAUUCUGUGGAGUAGGGAAGAUCACCCACCCCGGGUUGAUAAUCCGGGUCAUCUGGCUUUGGUGGUGGCGCCUCAGGUUGGUGGAUAUAAGUUCACUAAAGUGCUCAUGGACGGAGGCAGUAGCAUCAACGUCCUCUAUUAUGAGACGUUCUGUCGCAUGGGGUUGACUGAUAAGAGUCUUAAAACAUCCAACACUGUUUUUAUGGGGUAGUGCCUGGUAAGUCGGCGUACCCAGUUGGUAAAAUUGAGCUGGAAGUGGCCUUUGGAGAUGAGUAUGAUUCUAGGGCUGAGAAGCUAACUUUUGAAGUGGUUAAAAUCAAGAGCCCAUAUCACGCUCUGUUUGGACGGCCGGCUUAUGCUAAGUUCAUGGCCCGGCCGUGUUAUGUGUAUUUGCAGCUCAAAAUGUUGGGUUAUAAAGGCACUAUCAUAGUACAUGGAAGCCGGAAAAUAGCCCUGGAAUGUGAAGAAGGUGAUGCUGCAUAUGCCGAGUCUGUUUGUGCAACAGAGGAAUUGAAGUUUUAUAAGGAUAAUGUUGACCCGGCAAACAUGGCGUCUUUGAAGAAGCCAACUACGGAGCAUGAGCCGGCAUUGAAAUUCAAGUCCGCUGAUGACACCAAGAUGAUUGAUUUCGUGUCUGGCGACUCAUCCAGACACUUCAUUAUCAGUGCUAACUUGGAUCCAAAAUAGGAAAGCGUGCUCAUCGAGUUCAUCCAUGAGAACCGGGACAUCAUUGCAUGGAAGCCUUCUGACAUGCCGGGUGUUCCGAGAGAACUCGUUGAGCACACUCUCAAUAUUCAUCCAAAGUUUAAGAUGGUCGGGCAAUUUCUUCGGCGGUUUAACGAGGAAAGGUGCAAGGCCAUUGGAGAAGAGGUGGCCCGGCUCUUGGCGGCCGGGUUCAUUGUUGAAGUUUUUCACCCAGAGUGGUUGGCUAACUCGGUGCUUGUGCUUAAAAAGAACGGCACCUGGCGCAUGUGUGUGGAUUACACAAAUUUAAACAAGGCUCGUCCAGCUGAUCCUUUUGCUCUCCCUCGUAUUGAUCAAAUCAUUGAUGCUACGGAGGGUUGUGAGCGUUUGAGUUUUCUGGAUGCUUAUUCGGGUUAUCAUCAGAUCAAGAUGGCAGUUAAGGACCAGGAGAAAACAGCUUUCAUCACUCCGUUUGGAGCCUUCUGCUAUGUGUCUAUGCCUUUUGGGCUCAAGAGUGCCCACGCGACUUAUCAGCGGUGUGUACAAAAUUGCCUUCAUAAUCAGAUUGGGUGUAAUGUUCAUGCUUAUGUGGAUGAUAUAGUGGUGAAAUCCAGAGAGAAGGAAACCUUAGUAGCUGAUCUAAAGGAAACCUUUGGUAACCUCCGGGUCUACAAGAUGAUGCUUAACCCGGCCAAGUGUGUUUUUGGAGUCCCAGCUGGCAAGCUCUUGGGUUUUUUGGUGUCUAAUGGAGGCAUUGAGGCUAACUCGGAGAAAAUAAAGGCAACCACGUCUUUGGCUAAACCGGCAUGCAUCAAUGACGUUCAGCGGCUGGCGGGCCGUGUCGCAGCUUUAAGCCGGUUUAUAAGUCGGUUGGGCGAGAAGGCUAUGCCAUUGUAUCAAAUGAUGAAAAAGGUGGAUGACUUUGUAUGGAGUGACGCUGCUGAUUCCGCUUUUGAAGGUUUGAAAAGACAGCUUGCUGGGCCACCUAUUCUUGCUGCCCCCGUUGAGAAGGAGCCGCUAUUGUUAUAUGUGGCUGCUAACUCACAAGCCGUCGGCAUGGCCAUUAUUGUGGAGCGCAAGGAGGUUGGCAAGGAACAUCCAGUUCAAUGGCCGGUUUACUACGUCAGUGAGGUGCUCAUUGGAUCCAAGAAAAGAUACCCACAUUAGCAAAAACUUGUUUAUGGGGUGUUCAUGGCAAGCCGGAAGCUUAAGCAUUACUUCCAGGGUCAUCCUAUCACUGUGGUUAGCUCUGCUCCUUUAGGAGAUAUUAUUUAGAACAGAGAAGCCACAGGACGAGUCGCCAAGUGGGCCAUUGAGCUUGGGGUCUCAUAAUAUAAAGUAUGUGCCACGUACGGCUAUUAAGUCUCAAGCACUGGUGGACUUCAUUAAUGAUUGGACGGAGUUACAGACACCUGAAGAGAAGCCAGACAACACAUAUUGGACGAUUCAUUUCGAUGGGUCCAGGCAGUUGGAAGGCUCGGGGGCUGGAGUUGUGUUAACUUCUCCUCGAGGUGACAAGUUUUGUUAUGUGUUGCGAUUGAUGUUUCCUUGUACUAACAAUGCAGCAGAAUAUGGGGCCUUGCUCCAUGGUCUUCGAAUGGCUAAAGAGAUGAGUUUAAGACGGGUACGGUGCCUUGGCGACUCAGAUUUGGUGGCUCGGCAGGUGUCAGGCAAGUGGGAUUCCAAGGACCCUCUCAUGGCGGCUUAUCGCCGGGAAGUUGAUGAUGUUGUUGGACAUUUCAAAGGUUAUCAGGUGGAGCACAUUGACCGCAGAAAAAACAAAGCGGCUGAUGCUUUAAGCCGGUUGGGAUCACAGCGUAAGCUGGUGCCACCUAACACUUUUCUAGAUGUUCUUCAAAACCCUUCUGUCAAACUGCCUACAGAGGAAGAUUUGGUCAUUCCAGACCCGGAGGCACAGUUAGUAGCGGCUCUUCAUGUUAUUCCAGAUUGGACAUUACCGUAUUUGGCUUACAUGACCCGGGGUGAGUUGCCAGAGGAUGAGACCUUGGCUCGACAGAUAACCCGACGGUCUAAGUCAAUGACAAUUUCCAAUGGUGAGUUGUAUCAUCGCAGCGUCACUGGAGUGUUUCAACGUUGUGUCUCUCCCGAAGAAGGUCAAGAAAUUCUUCGUGAGAUCCAUGAAGGGGAUUGUGGUCAUCACGCUGGUUCAAAGUCUCUUGUGGCUAAAGCUUUUCGUCAUUGUUUUUACUGGCUAACGGCUCACGCUGAUGCAGAGGAUCUGGUCAGUAGGUGUGAUGGGUGUCAAAAAUUUGCACGACGAGCGCACGUGCCGGCUUAAGAAUUGCGGAUGAUUCCAAUCACUUGGCCGUUUGCAGUCUGGGGGCUUGACAUGGUUGGACCUUUUAAAAGAUCCAAGGAUAAAAAGACACAUCUUUUGGUGGUAGUUCACAAAUUUACAAAAUGGGUUGAGGCAGAGCCGGUUAGUAAGUGUGAUGCAGCCACGAUGGUUCAGUUCAUGAAAAAGGUGAUCUUUCGUUUUGGCUUUCCACAUAGCAUUAUAACUGACAAUGGUACUAAUCUGUCCAAAGGCAACAUGGAGGAGUUUUGUCAAUGUGAGCAUAUCCGGCUUGAUGUUUUGUCUGUAGCUCACCCCCAAUCCAAUGGUCAAGCUGAGAGAGCAAAUCAGGAAAUCCUAAAAGGUCUCAAGCCCGACUUAUGGUUCGUUUACAACGGACGCCGGGUUGUUGGGUGGAGGAAUUACCCUCGGUGCUGUGGAGUAUCAAUACCACUCCUAACAGAUCUACAGGUUAUACACCUUUCUUCAUGGUUUAUGGAGCAGAAGCAGUUCUGCCUAGUGACAUCCGUCAUGACUCACCUCGCGUGGCGGCCUAUGUUGAAGCUGAUAAUGAACAAGCCCGACAGGAUGCACUUGACUUGUUAGAUGAGGAGAGAGAUUUGGCAGUGGCUCAAUCAGCAAUUUAUCAACAAGACUUGCGCCGUUAUCACAGCCGCCGGGUUAAGUCCAGAACCUUUCAAGAAGGUGACCUAGUGCUCCGGCUCAUCCAGGAUCUGUCUGAUGCACACAAGCUAUCCCCGCCUUGGGAAGGACCCUUUGUGGUCAACAAGAACUUAAACAAUGGGUCAUAUUACCUCAUUGAUGUUCGAGAGCACAAAGACCCACGUAAGUCGGAGGAGGAGACCCGCCGGCCGUGGAACAUCGCUCAGCUUCGGCCAUACUACACUUAAACCAUCGGCUCUCAUCAUGUACAUACUUUGACGUUGUAUAUAAUAUGAUAAGUAAUAAAGCAGGACCUCUGUCCUUUUUCCCCUUCAAUGAUCAUAUAUCUUUAUUAUUUUCAUUAUUUAAAAUGACCAUUAGGGGGCUGAUCGUAUCCGAAUCUAGCUUAACCCUUUUGGUCCGGCUCAUGAUCGUAUUCGAAUCUAGCCGUAAAACUCAUGGUCACUUGGGGGCUUCCUGUUCAAACAUAGGUCGUAUUCGAACCAAAGAGAACAUAGCUGUCGUAACCCUCUUGAUCGGCUCAAAGCCAAACUCACUAGGGGGCUUCUUGAUCGUAUCUGAAUCAUAGCUUAACCCCUUUUUGGGUCCAACUUGGAUCGUAUUCGAAUCAGGGUCGUUAAAAACCUCUCAAGGUCAUUUGGGGGCUUCCUAUUCAAACAUAGGUCGUAUUCGAACCAAAGAGAACAUAGCUGUCGGUACCCUCUUGAUCGGCGCAACGCCAAAGCCACUGGGGGCUAUAUGAUCGUAUCCGAAUCUUAGCUUAACCCCUUUGGUCCGGUUUACUGAUCGUAUUCGAAUUAGAAGCCUCCAGUUUUUAUUUAAAUGUUUGAUUUACAUUGUCUGAAGCCUAGUGUUUUAUCUUACUAUUUUUAUCGUCUCAAAUCUAACUGUUAGUAUGGUUUCAAAUUAAACCGGCUUGGCUAUUUGACAAUGUGUCGCCAAGGCAUAACAGUCAUCAGACAUAUGGAAGUAUUGACUUCUAAAAAAGAUUGGGUUAUCAACCUCAUCAUCCGGGUCAUGUAAACCGACAGUCCAUGUUCAAAAACCACAGGUAUGACAGUGUCAUUCAUGAACAGACUUCCCUGGGUUUUUCGUCAGUCAAAGGAUUUUUCAGCCUUGUUUAUCUUACAUCUGGUUCUAUUUUUUCCACUAUGAUAAUUUCAUAAUCAUGUACCGGGUGUUUUGACCCGUCCGGUGCUAAGCCACCGGGACAGUUUUUUUCAUCUUUUACAGGAACAGAGUUAAAACAUUACAGAUGUAACCACGAUGUAAUGCAUAUAUAUAUUGACAUCAUGGGCAAAGAGUCAUAUGAAACAUCUUAUGCACGAUGGCAUAGGCAAAAUAUGCAAUUUUCAAACUAACCUAUUACAAGGCAUUGAGAGCCCAAAAGGUUAAACGGUUUUCUCUCUUAAGCAGGUCUUAAGCUAAAAACUGGAUUGUUCAGAUGGUUAUGACUCCUCCCUGGCCGUUUCACCUCCCUCCACUGGUUGGAAGCUGGGAUUGGACCAGUCAAAGCCGUUCAGAGCAAUGAACUCAGCCUCAUCGUCAAUUAGGCCGGCCGGGUCAAUUUGCAGGGCAAAAGUGUGUUGACGAACCGGCGGGAUAAGAUCCAUCACUUUAUAAGAGGGAGUCGCCAUCUUUUUAUUCUCCAUAUCAAAACCCGACUGAUAUUUUUCGAUGUUGGUCUCCUCACCAAGAAUGGUAGCCUGAGGACGAACUCCCCUCACACAAGCAAUAAAGUCAUCUUGCUCAAACGGAGUCCCGUCUUCCUUCAUGGUAGGGUACCCCUUAGCCACGUCCACCGGGUGUAAAUCGGGCACCCAGGCUUUGGAGCGGCUCAGGGCAGUCAGGGCUCCGACUCUGGCACAAGAUCGUUUGACCUCUUGAAAUCUGGCGGGUAAGAUCGAUAACUUCUUCAAAACAUCACUUAAACGGUUGGGUCCUUGGUUGGCAGGGGAUAUAUAUAGUAGAAAGUGCUCGUUGAGCACCAGUGUACAGUUGCUCCACCAAGGUAUAAACCGCCUUCAGUUUUGUCACACUAUCUUGACUCAGAUAUUUUACUUCGUGGACCUGUGAGUACUUUUUAACAAAGGCUCAGCAGGCGGCUUAUAUUUCUGGUUAAAAUAAAGUAUAAGUGACUAAUGCAAAUGACUUACCAAAGAUGGCGGAGACCAUUUGAUACACACGGUUUUUUAAGCCGGUGAGCUCCAUGGUAACCUCCUCAAGAGUCGCCUCUGCUGUCUUGGCACGUUGUGUCAGCAAGGUCUUCUCAUCGGCCCAGGAUUUCUUCUUCUCAGUCACACUGGUCUUCAAUUUUUCAGUUUUAGAGAGACUCAAUUGGAGUUUGGAGUUAGCAGUCUUUAUCUCCGCUUCUUGAUCCGCCAGCCGGGUCUUUGCAUCCGUCAAUUGAGAUCCCAAUUCAGUUAGGGCGGUCUACAAACAUGCAUAGGUGUGUCAAAAUUUAAACACAAGUUAUAUUGAUUAAAGUCGCGAGUGCUUUGCAACGCAACACCACUUGGCACUUGGGGGCUAAUGUCUGCCAAAGCAAUUUUAUGCAAAAUGACUCUUCUAUGUUUCAAGUCCCAAGUGUUUUACAAAGUAACAACGCUUGGCACUUGGGGGCUAAUGCAUGAUAUUCAGAAAGUUUUUCAAGAUGAGCCGGAUCACACUACUUAUUUGGACUAAUCUAAGACAGUUAUGAAGUUAAGUACCGGGUCAUUUAUGAUAAAUUGAGCCGGCCCUUGGGGACUACAUGUGAAGUUUAUACUAAUCCGUUGAACUUAGGAAAAAUCUAAAGACAAGGUAUCAACCUAUAUCAUAAGUCUACAGAUCAUUCAGGUUCAUCAUAAUCUGAAGACUUGGGGGCUGGCAGAGUAUAUAUAAACCGGAGAACGUACCUCAUAUUCUGUAACAUCCCAAAUUUUCAAUUUGGAAUGUUACACGUUAGGUCAUCAUGCAUAUCAUAUUUUAUUUUUCUUUUGGUUUUGAUCCUAGAAAAUCCUAAGCAACUCAAGGACCCACGGAGAGAGUUGGGGAUUUCAUUAUUUACAUAUUUGAGUUUUCUCAAAUUAUGUAAACAGGAUCAUUUGAUUUUAUUUAUUCUAUCAUCAAUUAUUUCUAUUACAAAAAUAUGAGAGAGGGAAUAAAAUGACUUUUCCAAAAUAUAGAAAUAUUGAGGAUUUAAUAAAAAAUCAAAUAAGUUUUAUUUCGGAGUUUUUUGGUAUUUUUAUUUGAAUUUAGGAAAAAUGCGCGUUUUUCAAAUUGUAGUUUGGGCCCAGAUAAAUGUUCACUUUAUCGGGCUUGAUUUUAGGAACCCGGCAAAAUUUAUUUCGUGAUUUUUGGAGUCCGUUUAGUAUUUCUUUUUAUUUUUCUUCCGAGCGGAUUUAAAAAAAAACUAGAACCGACUCCGUGCCGUAACCGGCCAGGAAACCUCCGCCCGGGGCCUUUAUAUAGCGCCCGAACCGGCCGAGAGAGAGAGAGAGGCCCGAAGCCAGCUAACCCUAACCCUAGCUAAGCCGCCGCCGCCUCCCAGCCGUCGCCGCCCGCCGCUGCCGACUCGCCGGAGCGCGCGCCUUUCGAGGUUCGCCGCCGCCUCGUUUUCCGUGAAGUUUUUUUUUAAAAAAAAAAUCUGUUCGUCGUUUUUCUUUUUCGUCGGAUUUUCCGCGGUUAUUUUCUGAUCGCGAUUUCUGAUCCGGUUUUCGUUUUAGUAUAACUUUUCGCUCGUUUAUCGGAAUCAGGCGAUUCAAGCGCCUGGAGUUUCGUCUCGAAACCCUCUUUCCGAAUAAUCAACUUAAACAAGUUUUUGCUACUGUAAAAUUUGCCCUAGAUCCAGAUUACUAGAAGGAAGUUGUUUUUUUUGCCGUUUGAUUUCUUUCGCUUCGUUCGAUUUGAUUCUUUUGCCAACCAGGGUUCUUAAGUUGAACUUUCUGGUUAGAUCUUCUAUUUGAGUUUUACUUGUGCAUUAGAUGAGUACUUAUUGUAUGCUUGAUGUUUGUCUGUGAUAGAAUACCCGGAGUGCGCCGCCUGUUACUUCGAAUCUCUAGGUUUCGCGGAUCAUCAGCAAGGCAAGUAACACUUUGAUCAUACCUUUUCUACAACCCAGUUUUAUUGCAUUAGAUCAAUCCUCACACAUUGCAUGAUUAGGAUCUAAUUAAAUUGUGGGAUGGGAAGUAGAUGAGGUAGUACCUAUUACCUGUUUAUUAUCAAACCUUUGGGAGUUACUUCUACGUUUGCUUAUGCCAUGUUAUGCCGGUAGACGUGGAUUGGGUGAGUGAUAUCCAUGACAGAUGUGAGAUUUAUAAUUAAGGGUUAUCUAAGGUGGCAACCUAACACACAUCUGGGUGGAUUGAGGCACCUGGGGUUACCAGGACUUGCCUGUUUUCUUUUGGACCGCCACCCAGGCCCAAAGGGAUCAUGAGAUUUUUCAUACUAGAAACUUCCGUGUGCAGCCACAAGCCAUUAUGGGCUCUGGCAUAGUUGACUAAGUUGUGCGAACUCUUACAGUGGUAGACUAGCAGAUGUAGGGGAAAGUAGGUGUACCGGUCUACCCGUCGUAAGGUGCUAGCGCUUCUGAAAGACUGUGUCUCGGUCAUCCGUUUCUCAAACACCUUGUAGUGCGAGAAACCAAACGGAGGUGAUCGAGUCUUGUGGGGAAAAGUGCGCAAACCUCUGCAGAGUGUAACAAACUAAUCAUGGUUAGCCGUGUCCCUGAUUAUGGACAUCUUGAGUAUCUAUUACCUGGAUUAUCAUGUGAAUCUCAACAUGUUACUCUAAAAUUAAUUUUGUGGGAUUUUAAUGAUGUUACUUAAUUGGGAUUGAGGAUGCUGUCAACCAUUCUCAAUGUUUAACAACCACCAUGAUAGUAAUUAAUUUUAUUCCUUUGAAGUAGGGAAAAAUUGGCUUUACGCAAAAACUGUAACCAUAGAGCUUUCCACCAGCCAAAUAUGCAUAUAGUAUAGUUGUUGCAUUCCAUUACUCUCUAUGUGUUACCUUGCCAGCAUAUUCCAUGUGCUGACCCGUUUCGGGCUGCAACGUUAAUGUUGCAGACUUUUCAGAUGACGAUUGAGGAAUUUUAGGUCGUGGUUCUAUACUCAGUGAUGCCGUUGGAGUUGAUGGACUCACUUAUCUUCCAAGCCUUCCGCUGUUAUCGUUAUUAGAUGGCCUUAAGCCAUAUUUAUUGUAAUAAGUUCUCUUUUGAGACACUCGAUGUAAUAAGUGUGUGAUUGCUACUCUGCUAUAAAUCCUCCGAGUACUGUGUGGUGUCAGCAUUACUGAUCCAAGGAUGACAUCGGAGCACAGAGAUCAGACUGUUUAAGGUCUGGUCGCUACAUAUUCCAGUUGCAAUUGCUUGACCAUCUCAAUUUCCGAGUCACGGCUGGAAUGCACAGGACUGAGAUAGCCGGACAGCAUGUCACUAACAUUCAGAUGAGCAUAGUGAGAGAUAUCAAAUUGUACUUUCUGUCUUUCCAAGGCCUCCUGUUUAGCAGAAUGCCUGGCCAGCACAGUCGGAUUACCCGGCGCAACAAAUCUGCUGCCAGUGAUCAAAACGUCAUGGUCAGAAGAUGCUGGCAGGUUAGCUGAACCGGACGGUCUGACGGUGGAUGGAUCGACAAUGGUUUCGUCAGCUGACGGCUCAGGAGGGUCCAAUUGAGCAUGGACAGCUAAAUCUUCUGGCGCUUCAGAUUGAGUGGGAGGAGUUGAUGUUGCCAGUUCAGGUGCAGGAUUUUUUGGGUCCUCUGCCGGUUUAAUCACCUUGGCUUUCUUGGACUUUGCUUGACCGCUAAGAAAGAUUUUUAUGAAAUAGUUAGUAUAAUGAUGCAGUUUUAAAAAUGUAGAGGAAAGAUGAUUUUCCUUACCCAUGGGCAGUCUUGAAAGCCGGAAAUUGAGUUUGGGAUGAGUCGCCAGAAGAGCGAGAGACCUCCUGCAAAGGUAAAAUAAAGUUAAGAAUAUAAGGAAAUAAAUUCAUGGAUAAAAACAAAGGACAAAGGUGAAAGAAACCUCAUUCUGGCGUUUUUGAGGAGUUUUUUCUAAGUCGAAAGGUGGUUCAUCAUCAUCAUUAGUCCGGGCCAGAUGGCGGCUCUCAUGUUGCUGCUUUUUCAAAAGAAAAUGAGGGUCCAAAUAAGCCAAAGGGUGCAAAAACCUUACUUUCCGGGUUACCAGUCGAAGUUUCUGUCUCGGCAAAGGGGCUGAGUCGUAGGAAAUAGUUACCUCUUCUUCCGCGGCCUGGCUGGCCCCCGUGUCAUCCUGGCAAUAGUCAGUGUCAAUAAGAUAGUUGAAAAUUUGGCCAAGGGAGAAAGGGCUACCUCCGACUCAGAAACAUCAUCAAGCUGGAAGAUGUCAGAUGCAGUCUUCUUCUUGGGCUUCCGGGUCGUUCUCUUGGCGGCUACGGCAGCGGAUCUAGCCUUCUUGGUAGCUUCAUGAUCAUACUUGGCCUUCCAGAAGUCAGAUUUGUCCUGUAAACAAAUAAAGAGGUUAAAAGGUCAUGCAAGUAUUUAAACUACUGAGGUAAACACAAAAAGAGAAAAAGGUCAAGAAGUUACCUCUGGUGUCGGGUUAAGUUUGCAGAAGGGGUUUAAUCCAACCUUGCUGUAGUCCUCGUAUUUGCCAUUCACGAGGAUGGUAGACAUUGCAACAAUGUCUUCUUCAGUUAAUUGUACAGAGCUAUAACGCAGAGAAUCAUUUGGGCCUCCGCCAUACUUAUACAUCAACUUGGAUCGGCGGCUUAGAGGGAUGACCCGCCAUGAGAUCCAGCAAUGGAUCAGGUCAACUCCGGUUAAGCCAUUUCCCAAUAAAGCUUGAAUCCUUUUGACAGAUGGGAUAAGCUUCUUGCGUUCAGCAGUAGUAAGCUUGUCAGGGAGCACAAACUUGGAAUCAAGACGCUCUUCACGAUAACCCGGCAGUGGUUUUUCAUCAGCCGGUGAUGUAUCUUGGCAGUAGAACCAGGUUUGCUUCCAGUCUUUGGGAUGGCUCGGUAAGACCACUAAAGGAAAAACGGCACCUUGUCAGCGUUGAAUUGAAAUUCUGCCAAGUUCCAAGCUAAGGCCGUUGGUGCACUCAUUCUGGCGGUUCAAGUAAAAGUACUCUCUAAAGAGCUCCACAGUUGGUUCUUCUUGAAGAUAUACCUCACAAAGAACUUGAAAAUUGCAGAUGUUGGAUAUAGGGUUGGGUCCAAUAUCUUGUGGAUGAAGCUUGAAAAAAUGCAGGACAUCUUGGACGAACUUUGAGCCGGGUGGUGAGAAGCCCCGGUUCAUGUGAUCUGUGAAAACGAUAACUUCGCCGUCUUUGGACUAAGGUCGUUCUUCGUCCGGGUCAGGAGCACGAUAAGACAUAACGCUUUUCUCUGGCAAAAAUCCAAUGGUGACAAAUUAUUUCAAGGUAUCUUCAGUAACUGUGGAAGGCACCCGGUUGCAGACAGUUGGCGCUUUUGACGGCAUGAUGAAGAAAGGGCAAGCUGAAAAGAAAGUAAUUUGCCGGUUCAAUUUAUUGGUGGAGUUACAGGUUCAUGAUUAUAGUACAGAUGAGUAAUGGCGGCUUAAGUAAGGGCUAAUGACAUGUAAAGGAAAAAUAAGCCGGAGUCAUAAGCCGCCAUGACUAAAAAGUAUUUGAAGGUUGCCAGAAUCAAAAUUGACUAAAGUGUUGAGACAAACAGGUUUCCCAAGUUGUGGCUAUUAUUAUGGAUCAAAAUGGUUCAGAAAAUAAAAAUAAAGUUAGACCUAGAAAACGAGCACAGAGGAGUUUGUCAGCUCUAAAGAGGCAUUUAUACAGGAGAAGGGGAUCUGUUAGCUUCAAAAAUGGAUGAGAAAUAGCUACCUCAUAAGUUUUGUACUACUUUUAGAUCAAAAGAGGGUGCGGUAAGAGAAGUUGCAACGAAUCUAUGACGAACAACGAAGAACACAAGAAGGAAACCUCCCGAACCCUAAUGCAGAUCUAUGGGGGUGAGAAGGUGAGAGCUUACAGGUGCGGAGCUGCUGCGGAGGAUCGCCACCGUUCUCUGGAUAGACUCAGGGUGAUGCUGCGGCCAGAGUUGAGGACGACGGUGCGCUACGGUGGCGACGGAGCUCGAGCGGCAAAGAAGGUGCGAGAGGAAGAAGAAAGAGGAAGGACUGGCCGAGCCUAUUUAUAAGGGGGUAAGUGAACGGGCAGACGCAAAAAUUGAGGAAGACCAAAGUAAUGAUUAUCCAGCUAAAUGGACGCCUCGAUCUUCGGAAAACAUUUAAGAUAAGGAUCCGUUGAAGAUGAAAUCGUGGUGUUUUUCCAAAUUUUUUCAAUCCUAAUGGUUGGUUAAUAAAAUAAGCUCAGUGAAUAUACAAGGCGAUAGUUUAUUAUAAGACUUGUAGUAGGCCCAAGCCCAAAGGCGGUUUAAGGCCCAUAAUUGUAAACCGCCAUGUAUAAGAAAGACUUGUAAAGAAAGGCAUGUAAGAGAAGUCACCGAGCCGAACACGUUAUAUGAGCCGGCCGGGACUCUGUAGGCUGCCAGGCGUCAACCCAUGUAUAUAAGGGGAUGACCCGGUGGCUGCUUAGGACAAGUAACAUCAAAUCAAGAGCCAUGCAUAGCGUAUUUGCUCCCUGAUCAUCGAAACCUAGCAAUAUCACAUCAACUGGACUAGGCUUUACCUUCACCGUAAGGGGCCGAACCAGUAUAAACCUUUCGUGUCCUUUGUCCCGAUUAACCCCUUUAAGCUUCCUAGUUGCGAUGGCUCCACGGCUAAGUCCUUUCACUAGGACAUCAUCCGUGACAAUUCCACGACAACUCUGGUGCGGAUCUUACUAUGGUUGACCUACGAGGUUCAGCGGUAACUUGAUCUGAAGUUUCAUGAUCAUCAUCAUUAGCUUCCUCACUAAUUGGUGUAGGAAUCACUGGAACUAAUUUCUGUGAUGAACUACUUACCAAUUCGGGAGCAGGUACAAUUGCCUCAUCAAGUUCUACUUUCCUCCCACUCACUUCUUUCGAGAGAAAGUCCUUCUCUAGAAAGGAUCCUUUCUUAGCAACGAAUAUAUUGCCUUCGGAUCUGUGAUAGAAGGUGUACCCAACAGUCUCCUUUGGGUAUCCUAUGAAGACACAUUUCUAUGAUUUGGGUUCGAGCUUAUCAGGUUGAAGCUUUUUCACAUAAGCAUCACAGCCCCAAACUUUAAGAAACGACAACUUAGGUUUCUUGCCAAACCACAGUUCAUAUGGUAUCAUCUCAACGGAUUUAGAUGGUGCCCUAUUUAAAGUGAAUGCAGUCUGAAAGUGCGUUAUAUCGACUAGAGGGGGGGUGAAUAGGCGAUUUUUAUGAAAGUCUUCAAAACAUGGAAGUUUCGAAGACAAACGAUAGAAAUAAACCUAUUACCAUGCAGUGGAAGUUAGACUACACUAGAUAAACCGUAGUCAUGUAUUCAAUGAAGUGAAAGGACAAUGACUAAUAGUAGCUAGGUAGUAAGGAUCAGGCAGGAAGAUAUUAAGAAGCCAAACGGAUCACACAGUCACUCAGUGAAGACAAAAGAUAGAGAAAACAUACAAUGACUUCACACAGAGUAACAGUAAGUAAAGAGAAGGGAAGGAUGAAACCAGUGACUCGUUGAAGACAAAGAUUUGUUGGACCAGUUCCAGUUGCUGUGACAACUGUACGUCUGGUUAGGGCGGCUAGGUAUUUAAACCAAAGGACACACAGUCCCGGACACCCAGUCCUGAACACGCAGCUCAGGACAUCCAGUCCUCACCGUAUUCCCCUUGAGCUAAGGUCACACAGACCUCGCCCAAUCACUCUGGUAAGUCUUCAAGGUAGACUCCCAAACCUUCACAGACUUCGUUCACCGGCAAUCCACAAUGUCUCUUGGAUGCUCAGAACGCGAUGCCUAACCAGCUGGAGGAUGCACAGUCCUCAAGUGUAAUAAGUCUUCAGAUCACUCAGACAAGAAGACUUAAGUGAUGCCUAAUUCUCUUUCGCUCUGGGUGGUUAGGGCUUUAUCCUCGCAAGGAAUUCUCUCUCAAAGGCUUCGAGGUGGGUUGCUCUCAAACGACAAAAGCCGUACUUUGAAUCUGAGUAGCCAACCGUUUAUGGUUGUAGGGGGUGGGCUAUUUAUAGCCACUAGGCAACCCGACCUGAUUUGUCCGAAAUGACCCUGGGUCACUAAGGAACUAACAUGUGUUCCAACGGUCAAAUUUCAAACUCACACGGAAACUUUACUUGGGCUACAAGCAAAGCUGACUUGUCCGACUCUGGACAAGAUUUUCUCUCAUAGUCUUCACUCGAAGACAUAGGUUUUUGUUUAAGCAUCACUUUAGUCAUUCUGACUGGCUCUCUUGGACCCCACUUAACAGUAUGUUGGUUCCUAUGACUCAACACAGAAGAAAAAGAACUACGAAAAAUCUAAGUGUUCAAGCUCCAUAGGCUUCAUGCGGUGUCUUCUCUUGUCAUAGUCUUCAAUGUGAAUAUCUUCAUAUACCACCUUUGACAUCAAUGUCUUCAUACACUUUUAGGGGUCAUCUCUGGUGGGAAAACCGAAUCAAUGAGGUACUUCUACCUGUGUUAUCCUGCAAUUCUCACAAACACAUUAGUCCCUCAACUAGGUUUGUCGUCAAUACUCCAAAACCAACUAGGGGUGGCACUAGAUGCACUUACAAUCUCCCCCCUUUUGGUGAUUGAUGACAAACUAGUUGAAGUUUUCAACGGGGAAUAUAAUGUGUGAAAUUGUAAAGGAUAAGGAAUUGUCUUCAUAAGUUACAAGGGCUCCCCCUGAAGAUGUGCAUAUAAGUAAUUUGCUUUUGGAAUGCAAAUGCACAUGGCAGGUUGUGCUUGUGGAGAUCCACUUCAACUUAUGAUGACAAUCCACUAUGCAUGUGAAAGUAUGUGAAGAUAAUGACAUGCAUAAUGGAAAAUGGAUGUCUGCAGAAUGAUCUAAGUGCGGAAUCUAUCAUCGCACAUGCGGAAUUUAUCAUCACAACACAAGGUAGCAAAUAGGUAGCAGACGACCAUCAAGUUUAAGUGUUACAACUCAAAGAACCAAAUGUUUCAAAACGAGAGUUGUAAGCACGAAGCAAAAUAUAAAACACCCGCCCAUAUGGACCCAUUUGAAGACUAUCAAACUCAUAUGCUUCUCCCCCUUUUGACAGUAAGGACCAAAAAGGUUUGAAGACAUAGAGCCUCUACUCGUUCCCAUGAGGAGUAGGUGAAGCAGCAGGAUCGUUGAUGGUGUUUGGCAGUGCAGACGAGCUUGGAGCAGUGUCGACGUGUGCUGAAGGAGGCGGCGAAGAAGUAGCAUCGUCUUCAUCCUCGAUCACUCUGGCAUUCACGGUUGCAGUAGAGGAAGAGAACUCAGGGUCUUCAAGUGAUGGAGUUCGUCGCAGCACAGCCCUGCGAGGAGGUGUGGAGUCAAACUUGAAGCGCUCAGUGAAGCCAUCCUCUUGCAGAUCAUCUUCAGAACACAGCAGCGUCAGCCCUUUCCAUGUGCGUCGAGAUGUUUCAUGAGCAACAAAGGCGUUCUUGGUGGCAAGAUUGUGAAUGCGAUUAACAUCCACCAAGAGGCUUUGCAUUUGACGCUUUAGCCAGUCAUGAUGCCUAUCCUGUUUCUGAUGAAGGGCCACCAGAAGCUCUCGGUCAUUGAGGACACGAGUGCGCUUCUUGGGUCGUUGAGCAAUGGUGCUAUCAGUGGCUUCAGUAAGAGCAGGAUGCGGGGCACGGGUAGUGCCAGCCAAAGGAUACACACGUGUUACUGCUUCAAUGCCUUCAACGUUCCGAGAGAAACUUUGAUGCUCUGCAUUCUGAAGACUUAGAGGUUCCUUGGCAGGCUCAGGAUAUAUGGCUUCAAUAGACAUAUCCACAUCAGGCAAAAAGAUCCGAUGAUUGCGGGCAGAUGGCUGAUAUGAGAUAGCAGAGUGAAGUUUGAUCAGCCGCAUCACCCAAGGGGCGUAGAACUUCAACCCAAAUAGAUCAGAGCCAGAUGCAGCAAGUUGGCGAAUGAAGAAAUCCUAUGUAUUGAAGCAUUUUCCAUGAAGAAUAUAGAAGACCAAAGUCUUCAUUGCACCUUCCAGCUGGGCAUGGGGAGAAUGUCCUUUGAUUGGCCAGAGAGUUCGCCUUAUGAUAUGAUAAAUGGUCCUUGGCAGAUACUCAAGGUCUUCAACAAAGAACUCCGUGGGAUAAGCAGCAUCUUGGGGCAAUGGCUUCAUCAUACUGAGCAUCUGACUCAUAUUGGGUUCAGUCUUCUGAAAGAUGCUCUCAACAGCUUCAAUGUGAAGCUGACAGCCAUGCUCAUAGAGAUCGCCAGGAGUGGGCAAGCCAGUGAGCUCAAUGAUGUCAAAGACUUUGGCUUCGUGAUGAACAUUUCCAGUCAUCCACUCUAGGACCCAAGUCUUUGGAUCUCUGUUAUACCCGCGGAUGUGAAGUGUGGCAUAGAACUGGAGCAGCAACUCUUCAUUCCAAUGCUCUUGGUCAGUGACGAAUGGUAGCAGCCCAACUUCAUUGAAGCAAUCCAAAGCUUCUUCCAGACAGGCAGACCAGCUAUAGCUUCAAUGUCAAGGCGCUUGUGUGGGAAGAUGCGACCUUUGUUGUAAAGAAUGCAUGAGUAAUAGCUUCGCUGCUGAUAGCUCCAGAACCGAUCAGAUGAUAUUCUUUCCCUGGAGUAGGGGUUCCUGGAGCUAUUGAAGAAUGUGUUGUCUGCUCUGAAGCCAUUGAUGUUAAAGGAGCCAGGUGCUAAUGCAGGACCUGGGAACCUGGGCAAUCUUGGGAUUGGCUUCUGGACCUGAGGCCUGUGCUCAACAUGAUAGUCGAAUUGGGGACCGGCAGCAGACGCAGGAACAGGAGCAGCAGGAUUAGUGGCUUCGCUGACUUCUGGUGCUGUUGGGGGUGAGGGCUCCACAUUAGCUUCAGCCAUGACGGUGUCAGUGGCUUCAGUGGUGUUGGUGGUGGCAGCCUCUAGAUUUUCAACCUCCACUUGACGAGCUGGAGGGUCGGUCAUGAUCACGUUCUCCUCGAGAACCGCUUCUUGGUGGGGCAGGGGAGUAGCAGCUUGUGGAACUUCUUCUUCCGUGGCUGAUGCAGCUAGAUUGUCUUCAGCAGAGACUUGAGGCCUUGGACCUUUGUGAAGCCUGCGCAACGCGGGCGAUGCCUGUGGAGCUGGAGUGGGCUGGGCCUCAUAGUCUUCUUCCUCUUGUUGGCGAUCCGCCCAUGAAGCAUCCUGUGCCAUUGGCGUCAGUGGACGACCAAUGCUGAUGAGUUCGUUGUUUUCAAGCUGAGGAAGAACUGCACCAUCUUCUACAUGGUCAUGUUGACCAAUGUCUUCAGCAGUGAUGGGAUCAGCUGUUGGAAAGUCUUUAGCUUUAUGAGCCUCUGUGGAAGCAGGCUCAUGGAUUGUCAGUUGGCGUUCAGCUUCAGGAUAGACCAUUGAAAUAGGUUCAACUAUCAAAGGCUCUGUGGGAGCAGCCUGUUCCUUCUUGGUCUUUCGUUUCUUCUUGGAGGGGGCAGUAGGAGAGGCUUCAGGAUGUUUCCUCUUCCUGGCUUCAGCCUCAGCAGUCCUUGUCUUCUUGAGCUCUGAAGCGGUUGACCGGCUUUUUGGCUUCAAGCCAGUCAGUCUAGUUGGGAAGACAAUCGGAACUGCUUCCUGCCUUGGUGCGUCGGAUUCAGCCGUAGCAGUCUUCUUCUUCUUCUUUGCGGCCAUCCUAGGGUCAAUGCCAGGACGCCCAAGGGCCUUGCGCUUCUCAGCCUCAUUGUAGGCUUGCACACAUCUGUCAGCCAGAGCCUUCAUGCGCUCACGUGAAUCCCGAGCUUCUGCACAUUUCUUCAGAAAGGCUUCCUUGAGCUCGUGCAUCAUGAUCUUGAAGUUCUUCACUUCUUGCACACUGAGCUUGGCCAUAUGCUUCUUGAACUGAGCCUUUUCAUAGUCAAUCUUCUGCUUUAGUUCAACAACGUGUCGGGCGAUGGCUAGCUCUGAAGCAAUGGCGCCUUGGAAGGCGACACUGAGGCCAAUGGGUAGCUGCAGAUCAUCAAAGCUGAUGUUUGGCAUAUCAAACCACUCGUCAAUGAAGUUGUGGAUGAUGGUUACAUCAAAGAGAGGCAGAUCAUUGAAGAUUUCGGCUUCUUCUUUGCUCUUGAUGAGUUGCUCAAGAGCGUCAUCUGCAAGAUCUUCAUCACUUGACAGAUCAAUGUCAUCAUUGCGCAGAAUGGCAGCAGCUGUUAGCUCUUGGCCGGUGUGUGGCAGAGGCAUCUUGGCCUUCUAGGGCUUGGAGAUGCGUGAUAAAUCUUCGGACUGCACACUGUCUUCAGGAGAUGCAGUUGCCAGUGGCUUCGCCCUUGAGAUUUUUGGUGAAGGGGCAGGCUUUGAAGCUUUGGGCUUCUUCAACUUCUUUGGUGUUGGCGCUGCAGGCGCUUCAUCUGAUUCAGCGUUAGCUGCAGGCUCAUUCACGGUUGUCCCUUGAACCAAGAUAUGGGUGAUGAGUCCUGCAAGGUUGUAGAAAGGACCGACGACAUUGGGUUCCGCAUCGCGUGUGCCGUCAGCCCUUGGAGCAGAAGGACCAGGGUUGAAGUCUAAUCCAAAAGACUUCUUGUUCUGCUUUGCUGAGUUCUUGGCAAACUGGAAGUUGCGCUUGAAUAGAUUGUCGUCACGGCACCAUAGUAGUGACGAUGGGUGUGCAUCUGCAGGCUGUGGCCCACGCACCAUGCAGGGAUAGAAGCCUUGUUCAAUGGCUUCUUCUCUGGACCUGGGUUGAAGAUUCUUGUAUAGGAUGUCUCCCCAUGGUCUCUUGAUGGCAUUUCUCUCAGCAUAUUCCUGGGUCACAAACCGGUAUUUGAACCAUUGUUCUGCCCAAUAUCUUCGAAUCCAUUGGAUUCGGGUCUUGCGCUGAUUAUAAUCCUGUUCAGGAUCUGUCUUGUAAAGCUCUGAGAGGUCAUCAGGAAAAUCUCUUGAUGUCCCCCCACGACGCUGUCUGCCACCCUUCCUUACUGAUUUCUCUGCAGCCAUGAACUUCAAACUGAAAGGCUUCAAAACGUUCAAAGGCUUCAAAGGUUUUCGCUUGCUGGACAAACAGGAACUGGCUUCGGGAGAAUUUAUAUGAUGCUGUAAGAAUUCUGCAAAUGAAUGCAGACUAUGAGAACCAAGGGAUUCUCCCAUGGACAUGUACCUGUGACAACAUUAAGGUGCAAGGGAAGGGGAAGAGGUCAUAUGCAUUCUCAGGAGAUUUUGAAGAUAAAUCAGUUUAGAAGACAUUGACCUCAUCGUGCGAAGACAUUCACUCAUAGAUAAGGAGUUGGUUCCAGAUUUGUACGAAUCCAGUGAUCAGUACAAGUGAGGAAUCUAACUACUUGUGAAGCAUAAGUGAAUAUACUAGGCAUGUUAUGAGAUGCAGUAGGAAAGAGAUCCAACUUGUGUGAAUAGAAACUUCUUAUGGUAGAAAGUGACAAAGCCAUAGGAUCAAAAGGGGCCGUAAAAAGAAGUUUUAUUUACCACACUUGGAACUGCUAGAUGGAGUGGAAGAGGAGGCCGAGCAGUUCGAUCUUCUGUGCCCUAACUUGGCGACGAAGGACACCUACGGCGACGGCGGAGAGGACGAUGUCCGCGGUCGGUGUGAAGACGGCGUCGGAGAGGUUGCGGCAGUGAAGCGCUUCGUCGCCGGCGUCGUCGAGGGCUAGCAGUGGCACUAGGGUUCGUGCGAGGGUGGAAGAAGAGAUGAUGACCGCUGUGAAGGGUGUAUUUAUAGGUACAGGGGCGGCACUGCGUUAUUACACAGGUGCCCCUGGCGAUUCACAUCUGAGGAACACGUGGCCAUCAUGCAGUAUAUUGGGGUUUGUUCCACGUCUCACGCACGCCUAGAUUGUCGGGUGGUCGUUCCUACUUCUCCGGGUUUCAUGUGGAGGAAUGGGCAUUGAAAACGGACUUAAUGUUUGUCUCUGUAUGUUCUGCUGACAAGGACGCAGAGAAGACAUUCGACAGUUUCAAUAGAAUGCAUAUGAUUUGGAGAGAUAGAGUUUGAGAUAGAGAGCACAGAGAGGUUAGGGUCCGAUCACAUUCACUUAGAUCAAAAGAUUCAACAAGAAGACAUAGCUAUAAGUGAAUACUGUAGAGGACAGAACACUAGUAUAUAUAUAUAUAUAUAAUCAACAUAGUGAAGAUAAUCAUGAAAACAUGUUGAGAUUGAAACCAAACCAAAUGUGAAGUCAUAGCAAGGUAAUGCCAUGAGUGAAACACUUCAAAUAGAACAUUUGGUGGUGGCGUUACCCACCGUAUAGGAAGUAUUAGACCCAGACACGGCGCACAAUUAUCGUGGCGCUCCGAAGUCAAAUUCCACAUUAAUGUAUUCACACUUAGAAUGUAUGUCUUCAUUGAUUGAAGAUAUACUUUACUUCGUGUGUUGCACAUCUAAGUCAUCAAUAUGCAUAAGGGUUAGGAUGUGUGCCUGAUCACAGGACAUUUGAGGAUUCCAGGAUAUUUAGCUCACAUCGUAACUUGCAAAAUCUCUUCUCAUCCAAGGGCUUGGUGAAGAUAUCUGCCAAUUGCUCUUCAGUGUUGACGUGUAUGAUAUCAAUAUCUUCCUUCACAACAUGAUCUCUGAGAAAGUGAUGACGAAUUUCAAUGUGCUUUGUCUUCGAGUGCUGAACAGGGUUGUUGGCAAUCUUGAUGGCGCUUUCGUUGUCACAGUAGAGUGGCACUUGCUUCAGAUGAAUGCCAUAGUCCUUGAGGGUUUGCUUCAUCCACAGAAGCUGAGCGCAGCAAGAUCCAGCAGCAAUGUAUUCAGAUUCAGCAGUGGAGAGAGAUACACAGUUCUGCUUCUUUGAAGACCAACAUACAGGUGAUCGUCCCAGAAAAUGACAUGUGCCUGAUGUAGACUUGCGAUCCACCUUGUCACCAGCAUAAUCAGCAUCCGAGAAUCCAACCAGAUCAAACUCUGAGCCCUUUGGAUACCAUAAUCCUAGAGUUGGGGUGUGAGCCAAAUAUCGAAGAAUUCGCUUCACAGCUAGGUGAUGCGACUCCUUUGGUGCCGCUUGAAAUCGAGCACACAUGCAAACACUAAGCAUAAUAUCUGGCCUAGAUGCACAUAGAUAAAGCAAAGAACCAAUCAUGGAGCGGUAUACCUUUUGAUCGAACUCUUUACCAUUGUCGUCAGGACCCAGAUGAUGCUUGGCUGGUAUUGGCGUCGUGAACCCUUUGCAGUCUUGCAUACCGAACUUCUUAAGGCAAUCCUUGAGAUGCUUCUCUUGAGAUAUGAAGAUGCCGUUGCGUUGCUGUCGUAUUUGAAUACCGAGGAAAAACUUCAGCUCUCCAUCAUGGACAUCUGAUAUUGCUCUUGCAUCAUAUAUCCAAACUCUUCACUGUACUUCUGAUUGGUGCAGCCGAAGAUAAUGUCAUCCACAUAUAUUUGGCACACAAACAGUUAACCAUCAUAUGUCUUCGUGAAGAGAGUGGGGUCGAGGGAACCAGGUAUGAAGCCUUUGCUCUUCAGGAAGUAUUUGAGUGUGUCAUACCAGGCCCGAGGGGCUUGUUUGAGGCCAUAUAGUGCCUUGUUGAGCUUGUAUACCGUAUCAGGAUGUUUUAGAUCUUCAGAGCCAGGUGGUUGUGCAACAUACACUUCUUCUUCAAUCUUUCCAUUGAGAAAGGCGCUCUUCACAUCCAUUUGAUAAAGAAGUAUGUUGUGAUGAUUUGCAUAGGCCAGCAGUAUGCGUAUGGCUUCAAGUCUAGCCACAGGAGCAAAUGUUUCAUUGAAGUCAAUGCCUUCCACUUGAGUAUAUCCUUGAGCAACUAGACGAGCUUUGUUUCUGACAACUUGACCAUGCUCAUCUUGCUUGUUGCGGUAUAUCCAUUUUGUGCCUAUUAUGUUGUGCUUCCGAGGAUCAGGACGCUUAACCAGUUCCCAUACAUUAUUCAGCUCAAACCGUUGAAGCUCUUCUUGCAUAGCUUGAAUCCAUUCAGGUUCCAUGAAGGCUUCUUCCACUUUCUUGGGUUCUGUUAUUGAGACGAAUGCGAAGUGCCCACAGAAAUUUGCCAGCUGGGUUGCCCUUGAUCGACUGAGCGGACCAGGUGCAUUGAUGCUGUCAAUUAUUCUCUCAAUUUGCACUUCAUUGGCAACACGAGGAUGUACAGGGCGAAGACUUUGCUCUUGCUGAUCAUUGUCGUUGUUGGAGGGAUUGUCUUCAGGUUGAGCAUUGUCUUCAGGUUGAUCUGGUGCAGAGAUGAUGAGUUCCUCUUCAGGAUGAGCUUUAGAAGGUAUGAUUUCUCCAGUUCCCAUUAGCUUGAUUGAUUCACUGGAUGGAACUUCAUCUAGCACAUUUGGCAGGUGCUCUCUUUGUGAACCGUUAGUCUCAUCGAACCGCACAUCCACGGUUUCAACCACUUUAUAAUGAAAGAGGUUGAAGACUCUGUAGGAGUGCGAAUCCUUUCCAUAUCCAAGCAUAAAACCCUCAUGUGCUUUUGGGGCAAACUUUGAAGUGUGAUGUGGGUCCUUGAUCCAGCACCUUGCGCCAAAUACUCUGAAGUAACUGGCAUUUGGCUUCUUGCCAGUGAGGAGCUCAUACGAUGUCUUGUUCAGAAGCUUGUGAAGAUAAACACGAUUGAUUGUAUGGCAUGCAGUAUCAAUGGCUUCAGGCCAGAAUUUUCUUGGAGUCUUGUAUUCAUCUAGCAUUGUUCUGGCCAUCUCAAUGAGUGUUCUGUUCUUGCAUUCGACGACGCCAUUCUGCUGUGGCGUGUACGGGGCUGAGAAUUCAUGUGUGAUGCCCAAGGUAUCAAGAUAUGUAUCAAGGCCAGUGUUCUUGAAUUCAGUGCCAUUGUCACUUUUGAUGUGCUUUAUCUUGGCACCAUAGUUGUUCAUUGCUCGAUUGGCGAAGCGUUUGAAGACAUCCUGCACUUCAGUCUUGUAAAGGAUUAUAUGCACCCAAGUGUAUCUAGAAUAAUCAUCAAUAAUGAAGAAGCCAUAGAGACAAGCAGUAGUAGUAAGAGUUGAGUAAUGAGUGGGACCGAAAAGAUCCAUGUGAAGCAGCUCGAAGGGUCGAGUAGUAGUCAUGAUUGUCUUCGAGGGAUGCUUGGCCCUCGUCAUCUUUCCUGCUUCACAGGCACCGCAUAAGUGAUCUUUCUUGAACUUGACGCCCUCAAUGCCUAUGACAUGCUUCUUCUUUGCCAGGGUGUGGAGGUUCCUCAUGCCAGCAUGCCCAAGCCUCCGAUGCCAGAGCCAGCAUUCUGAAGCUUUUGCUAGAAGACAUACGGCAAGUUGUGGUCCUGCUGAGAAAUCUACCACGUACAGAUCGUCUUUCCGAUACCCUUCAAACACUAGAGACUUGUCAGAUUCCAUUAGAACAAGGCAACAAUAUUUUCCAAAUAUUACGAUCAUGUUCAAAUCGCAUAGCAUUGAGACAGACAUUAAGUUGAAGCCAAGGGAUUCAACAAGCAUGACUUUAUCCAUGUGUUGAUCCUUUGAGAUUGCAACUCUACCUAGACCCAAUACCUUACUUUUACCAGUGUCAGCAAAUGUGAUGUGGCUCUUGUCGGAAGGACGUAAGGUUGAGUCCAUCAGAAGGCUUCUUUUGCCAGUCAUGUGAUUUGUACACCCACUAUCAGUAAUCCAUUCUGUAUACGCUGGUGUCGUACCCUACAGUGCAGUUAGGGGGAUAGGCUUCACGAAGAGAGUUGUGAAGCAAAAACAUUUGACGAACCAGUGGGUUAUGAAAGCUUAGAUCCAGAUUAGUACUGAUAGGGAGAGUAGCAAGCGAUUCAGGAACGAAGUACAUAGUAAGACCAUUCGGCAUUUGAUCUUGCGCCCUACAAGAUGUUUAAGGUCCCCAGCGAUAGCGUCAGAAGAUUUUGGUUUUCUGCUGGAGACCUUUCCCUGCAAAAGAGAGUUAAGCCUUCUUAACAACCCACAUCUUCAAGGGUGGCUUAGAAGCGAUAAGUCUAAGUGCAGAGUCUGAAAACUUUGGCUUUGGGGCUCUAGCAAAAAGUCUUGCAGGUGGACAAUAAUACUCAUAAGAAUAAGCAGAAUAGUUUUUGGUCUUAUGAACAUGGCGGUUCGAUGAACCGCGCUCAUAUUCAUAGGCCUGAGUAUGGUUUCCCUGCAAAACAUUUGCAUUAGUCCGACUCAGGUGAGUCCUCUGUCUGUAUGAAGCCUUUGGGCCAUAUGAAGCCUGUGGUCUGGGGUUUGUCUUCUUCAUCUAUGGUGUCAUGAUGACAUUCACAGGAAGAUUUUCCAAACACCUUUUGGGCACCCAGACCUUCUUCAUAGGCGGUCCAUUCCUGCAGUUAGUACCAAUGUACCUGGCAAAAACUUCACCAUUCUGAUUCUUAAAUAGUUUAUAGUUUGCAUCAAAGGAUUCAUCAAUGACAAUGGGGUUAGCACAAGUGAAGCCAGAUAGACUGGAUGGAUUUGCUGAAGGUUCCUUUGCAGCAACCCAUGUGGUUUUGGGAUACUGCUCGGGUUUCUAGUAAGAGCCAUCAGCAUUCAUUUUCCUUAUGAACCCAACACCCUCUUUCCUCGGGUUUCGGUUCAGAAUCUGCCUUUUGAGGACAUCACAUAGUGUCUGAUGCCCUUUAAGACUUUUGUACAUCCCUGUUUCAAGCAAUGUCUUCAACCUAGCAUUCUCAUCAGCAAUCGCAGUAGUAUCCUCAGUAGAGGGGUUAGUUACCACAUCAACAGUUGAAGAUAUUGCAACAGUAGCAGUAGUAGAACAUUCAGCAACAGAAGCAGCAUUAUCACGCUCAAUGCAUUUAAGACAUGGUGGUUCAAAUCCUUCCUGAGCGGAACUGAUCUGUUCGGCGCGAAGUGACUCGUUUUCCUUUUGAAGAUCUUCAUGAGCCGCUCUCAAUUUCUCAAGAUCUUGCUUCCUUUGAAGAUAAUCAUAGGAAAGCUUUUCAUGAGUUGUUGAGAGCGUUUCAUGACAACUUUCAAGUUCCUCAUAUUUAACGUGAAGAUUUUUUAUGUCUUGAAUUAAGGAUUCAGAUCGAGUCAUUUCAACGCCCAACAAAUCAUCGCUUUUGUCUAACAGUUUUUGAAUAUGUUCCAUGGCUUUCUGUUGUUCAGUUGCAAUUUUAGCAAGUGUUUUGUAGCUGGGUCUUGAAUCACAAUCAGAGUCAUCAUCACUAGAUGUUUGAUAGUGAGUAGUGCGUGUGUUUACCUUGGCACCGUGUGCCAUGAAGCAGUAGGUAGGAGCAGAGUCGUCCUUGUCAUUUGCAUCGGCGUCGGUGGUGAAGUCAUUGUCUUCAGUGUUGAAGAUGGACUUGGCAACGUAUGCUGUAGCCAGACUUGCAACACCAGAAUCGGACUCCUCCUCAGACUCCACCUCCGCCUCCUCAGACGCGGACUCCUCCUCUGAAUCCAUUUCCUUGCCAACAAACGCACGUGCCUUGCCAGAUGAGCUCUUCUUGUGUGAUGAAGACUUUGAGGAAGACUUGGAAGAAGACUUUGAGUAUUUCUUCUUCUUCUUGUCGUCAGAGUCAUAUUCCUUGCUCUUCUUCUUCUUUCUAUUCUCAUUGUCCCACUGCGGACACUCAGAGAUGAAGUGGCUAGUUUUCUUGCACUUGUGACAUGUUUUCUUCUUGUAGUCAUGAGCAGAAGCUUCAUCAUUCCUUGAGCUUGAUCGUGAAGACUUUCUGAAGCCUUUCUUCUUGGGGAAUCUUUGGAACUUCUUUACAAGCAUAGCAAGUUCCUUUCCAAUGUCUUCAGGAUCGUCAGAACUGCUGUCAGAUUCUUCUUCAGAUGAGGAGACAACUUUUGCCUUCAGGGCACGAGUUCGCCCAUAGUUUGGACCGUAGAUAUCUCUUUUCUCAGAAAGCUGAAACUCAUGUGUGUUGAGCCUCUCAAGUAUGUCGGACGGAUCGAGUAUCUUGAAAUCAGGUCGUUCUUGAAUCAUCAGGGCUAGGGUGUCAAACAAACUGUCAAGUGAUCUCAGUAGUGUCUUGACGACUUCAUGCUUGGUGAUCUCAGUGGCGCCGAGCGCUUGAAGCUCAUUUGUGAUGUCAGUGAGUCGGUCAAAUGUGAGCUGGACAUUCUCAUUGUCAUUUCGCUUGAAGCGGUUAAAGAGGUUGCGAAGAACGCUGAUUCUCUGAUCUCUCUGGGUUGAGACGCCUUCGUUGACCUUGGAGAGCUAGUCCCAGACCAGCUUCGAUGUUUCCAAAGUGCUCACACGGCCAUACUGUCCUUUGGUCAGAUGACCACAGAUAAUGUUCUUGGCAGUAGAGUCCAGUUGAACGAACUUCUUGACAUCAGCAACAGUGACACCUUCUCCAGCCUUGGGAACGCCGUUCUUGACGACAUACCAUAGGUCGACGUCAAUGGCUUCAAGAUGCAUGCGCAUCUUAUUCUUCCAGUAGGGAUAUUCAGUUCCAUCGAAGACGGGGCACGCAACGGAGACUUUAAUUAUCCCUGCAGUCGACAUAGCUAAAACUCCAGGUGGUUAAACCGAAUCACACAGAACAAGGGAGCACCUUGCUCUCAUACCAAUUGAAAGUGCAUUAUAUCGACUAGAGGGGGUGACUAGGCGAUUUUUAUGAAAGUCUUAAAAACAUGGAAGUUUCGAAGACAAAUGAUAGAAAUAAACCUAUUACCAUGCAGCGGAAGUUAGACUACACUAGAUAAACCAUAGUCAUGUAUUCAAUGAAGUGAAAGGACAAUGACUAAUAGUAGCUAGGUAGUAAGGAUCAGGCAGGAAGAUAUUAAGAAGCCAAACGGAUCACACAGUCACUCAGUGAAGACAAAAGAUAGAGCAAACAUACAAUGACUUCACACAGAGUAACAGUAAGUAAAGAGAAGGGAAGGAUGAAACCAGUGACUCGUUGAAGACAAAUAUUUGUUGGACCAGUUCCAGUUGCUGUGACAACUGUACGUCUGGUUAGGGCGGCUAGGUAUUUAAACCAAAGGACACAUAGUCCCGGACACCCAGUCCUGAACACGCAGCUCAGGACACCCAGUCCUCACAGUAUUCCCCUUGAGCUAAGGUCACACAGACCUCGCCCAAUCACUCUGGUAAGUCUUCAAGGUAGACUCCCAAACCUUCACAGACUUCGUUCACCGGCAAUCCACAAUGUCUCUUGGAUGCUAUAACGCGACGCCUAACUGGCUGGAGGAUGCACAGUCCUCAAGUGUAAUAAGUCUUCAUAUCACUCAGACAAGAAGACUUAAGUGAUGCCUAAUUCUCUUUGGCUCUGGGUGGUUAGGGCUUUAUCCUCGCAAGGAAUUCUCUCUCAAAGGCUUCGAGGUGGGUUGCUCUCAAACGACAAAAGCCGUACUCUGAAUCCGAGCAGCCAACCGUUUAUGGUUGUAGGGGGUGGGCUAUUUAUAGCCACUAGGCAACCCGACAUGAUUUGUCCGAAAUGACCCUGGGUCACUAAGGAACUGACACGUGUUCCAACGGUCAGAUUUCAAACUCACACGGCAACUUUACUUGGGCUACAAGCAAAGCUGACUUGUCCGACUCUGGACAAGAUUUGCUCUCAUAGUCUUCACUCGAAGACAUAGGUUUUUGUUUAAGCAUCACUUCAGUCAUUCUGACUGGUUCUCUUGGACCCCACUUAACAGUGCGGUGGUUCCUAUGACUCAACACAGAAGAAAAAGAACUACGAAAGAUCUAAGUCUUCGAGCUCCAUAGGCUUCAUGCAGUGUCUUCUCUUGUCAUAGUCUUCAAUGUGAAUAUCUUCAUAUACCACCUUUGACAUCAAUGUCUUCAUACAUUUUUAGGGGUCAUCUCUGGUGGGAAAACCAAAUCAAUGAGGUACUUCUACCUGUGUUAUCCUGCAAUUCUCAUAAACACAUUAGUCCCUCAACUAGGUUUGUCGUCAAUACUCCAAAACCAACUAGGGGUGGCACUAGAUGCACUUACACAGUCGUCUCUAAAGCAUAACCCCAAAAUGAUAGCAGUAAAUUAGUAAGAGACAUCAUAGAUCGCACCAUAUCUAAUAAAGUGCGGUUACGAUGUUCGGACACACCAUUAUGUUGUGGUGUUCCGUGUGGCGUGAGUUGCGAAACUGUUCUGCAUUGUUUCAAAUGAAGACCAAACACGUAACUCAAAUAUUCACCUCCACGAUCAGAUUGUAGAAACUUUAUUUUCUUGUUACGAUAUUUUUCCUCUUCACUCUGAAUUUUUUUGAACUUUUCAAAUGUUUCAGACUUAUGUUUCAUCAAGUAGAUAUACCCAUAUCUGCUCAAAUCAUCUGUGAAGGUCAGAAAAUAACAAUACCCGCCGCGAGCCUCAACACUCAUCGGACCGCAUACAUCCGUAUGUAUUAUUUCCAACAAGUCUAUUGCUCACUCCAUUGUUCCGGAGAAUGGAGUCUUAGUCAUCUUGCCCAUGAGGCAUGGUUCGCAAGCAUCAAGUGAUUCAUAAUCAAGUGAUUCCAAAAGUCCAUCAGCAUGGAGUUUCUUCAUGCGCUUUACACCAAUAUGACCUAAACGGCAGUGCCACAAAUAAGUUGCACUAUCAUUAUUAACCUUGCAUCUUUUGGCUUCAAUAUUAUGAAUAUGUGUGUCACUAUUGUCGAGAUUCAAUAAAAAUAGAUCACUCAUCAAGGGUGCAUGACCAUAAAAGAUAUUACUCAUAUAAAUAGAACAACCAUUAUUCUCUGAUUUAAAUGAAUAUCCGUCUCGCAUCAAACAAGAUCCAGAUAUAAUGUUCAUGCUUAACGUUGGCACCAAAUAACAAUUAUUCAGGUCUAAAACUAAUCCCGAUGGUAGAUGUAGAGGUAGCAUGCUGACGGCGAUCACAUCGACUUUGGAACCAUUUCCCACGCGCAUCGUCACCUCGUCCUUAGCCAAUCUUCGCUUAAUCCGUAGCCCAUGUUUCGAGUUGCAAAUAUGAGCAACAGAACCAGUAUCAAAUACCUAGGCGCUACUACGAGCAUUAGUAAGGUACACAUUAAUAACAUGUAUAUCAAAUAUACCUUUCACUUUGCCAUCCUUCUUAUCCAUCAAAUACUUGGGGUAGUUCCGCUUCCAAUGACCAGUCCCUUUGUAGUAGAAGCAUUCAGUCUCCGGCUUAGGUCCAGACUUGGGCUUCUUCACUUGAGCAACAACUUGCUUGUCAUUCUUCUUGAAGUUCCCCUUCUUCCCUUUGCCCUUUUUCUUGAUACUGGUGGUCUUGUUGACCAUCAACACUUGAUGCUCCUUCUUGAUUUCUACCUCUACAGCCUUUAGCAUUGCGAAGAGCUCGGGAAUUGUCUUAUCCAUCCCUUGCAUAUUAUAGUUCAUCAUGAAGCUUUUGUAGCUUGGUGGCAGUGAUUGAAGAACUCUGUCAAUGACACUAUCAUCAGGAAGAUUAACUCCUAGUUGAGUCAAGUGGUUGUGGUACCUGGACAUUUUGAGUAUAUGUUCACUAACAAAACUAUUCUCCUCCAUCUUACAGCUGUAGAACUUAUUGGAGACUUCAUAUCUCUCAAUCCGGGCAUUUGCUUGAAAAUUUUACUUCGACUCCUGGAACAUCUCAUAUGCUCCAUGAUGUUCAAAACGUUGUUGAAGUCCCGAUUCUAAGCCGUAAAGCAUGGCACACUAAACUAUCGAGUAGUCAUCGGCUUUGCUCUACCAGACGUUCAUAAUGUCCGGUGUUGCUUGAUACGUCUCCGUCGUAUCUACUUUUCCAAACACUUUUGUCCUUGUUUUGGACUCUAACUUGCAUGAUUUGAAUGGAACUAACCCGGACUGACGCUGUUUUCAGCAGAAUUACCAUGGUGUUAUUUAUGUGUAGAAAUAAAAGUUCUCGGAAUGACCUGAAACUUCAGGGAACGUCUUUUUGGAAAUAAUAAAAAAUCCUUGCAAAAGAUGAAGACCAGGGGGCCCACACCCUAGCCACGAGGGUGGGGGCGCGCCUGCCCCCCUAGGCGCGACCCCUACCUUGUGGGCCCCCUGGAGCUCCUCCGACCUCAACUCCAACUCUAUAUAUUUGCUUUCAGGGAGAAAAAAAUUAGAGAGAAGGAUUCAUCGCGUUUUACAAUACAGAGCCGCCGCCAAGCCCUAAAACCUCUCAGGAGGGCUGAUCUGGAGUCCGUUCGGGGCUCCGGAGAGGGGAAUCCGUCGCCAUCGUCAUCAUCAACCUUCCUCCAUCACCAAUUUCAUGAUGCUCACCGCCGUGCGUGAGUAAUUCCAUCAUAGGCUUGCUGGACGGUGAUGGGUUGGAUGAUAUUUAUCAUGUAAUCGAGUUAGUUUUGUUAGGGUUUGAUCCCUAGUAUCCACUAUGUUGUGAGAUUGAUGUUGCUAUGACUUUGCUAUGCUUAAUGCUUGUCACUAGGGCCCGAGUGCCAUGAUUUCAGAUCUGAACCUAUUAUGUUUUCAUCAAUAUAUGAGUGUUCUUGAUCCUAUCUUGCAAGUCUAUAGUCACCUACUAUGUGUUAUGAUCUGGCAACCCCGAGGUGACAAUAAUAGGGACCACUCCCGGUGAUGACCGUAGUUUGAGGAGUUCAUGUAUUCAUUAUGUGUUAAUGCUUUGGUCUGGUACUCUAUUAAAAGGAGGCCUUAAUAUCCCUUAGUUUCCGCUAGGACCCCGCUGCCACGGGAGGGUAGGACAAAAGAUGUCAUGCAAGUUCUUUUCCAUAAGCACGUAUGACUAUAUUCGAAAUACAUGCCUACAUUACAUUGAUGAAUUGGAGCUAGUUUUGUGUCACCCUAGGUUAUGACUGUUACAUGAUGAACCGCAUCCGGCGUAAUUCUCUAUCACCGAUCCAUUGCCUACGAGCUUUCCAUAUAUUGUUCUUCACUUAUUUACUUUUCCGUUGCUAUUGCUAUCAUCACUACAAAAUACCAAAAACAUUAAUUUUGCUAUCGUUACCUUUUGCUACCGUUACCACUACUAUCAUAUUACGUUGCUACUAAACACUUUACUACAGAUAUUAAGUUUCUAGGUGUGGUUGAAUUGACAACUCAACUUUCAACUGCUAAUACUUGAUAAUAUUCUUUGGCUCCCCUUGUGUCGAAUCAAUAAAUUUGGGUUGAAUACUCUACCCUCGAAAACUGUUGCGAUCCCCUAUACUUGUGGGUUAUCAAGACUAUUUUCUGGCGUCGUUGCCGGGGAGCAUAGCUCUAUUCUUUGAGUCACUUGGGAUUUAUAUCUGUUUAUCAUUAUGAAGAACUUGAGAGAUCCAAAAACCAAGAUUUAUCUCUCAACUACGAGGGGAGGUAAGGAACUGCCAUCUAGCUCUGCACUUGAUUCACCUUCUAUUUUGAGUAAGCUUGCGACACCUAAACCUGCUUCUGCUAUUCAUUCUGAUAUGUCGCAUGUUAUUAAUGAUGCCACUUGUGCUAUGCAUGAUACUUAUGAUGAAACUACUUCUAUGCUUGAUACUACUGUGCCACUUGGUGAAUUUCUUGAUGAACAACUUGCUAGGGUUAGAGAGAAUGAAAUUAUUGAAACUGAUAAUAUAUAUAUAUAUAUUUGAAUAUAUACUGUAGGGUAAAACCCCCACAGCCCUUUAUUGCAGUCUCAAAAAACAAACUGUACAGUGAAAGAAAGAGAUGACAAGCCUAAACGAAAAGUUAAGAAGAACUUACAAUUACAUGAGGGAGUUAACUCAAUCUACAAGCCUAGACUUAGAGCUAUCCUUAAACCUAUGUGACAGGAGAAGAAUGUCAUGUACAAAACUGCCCCUCCAGGCAACAAAAGUAGCCCGUAGUCCCCUGAAAGUUCUUCCAUUUCUCAGAAUCCAUAUAUUCCAAGCAGCUGUGAGCAUAACUUCAAAGAAGAAAGGAUACCCAAAUCGCUGCCUUGCUUGAGAUAUACAUUGCUGAAUAGAAGAACCAUGUGACCAAUCGAUCUGCAGGUAUUUCCAAACCCUGGCACUGAAAUUACAACCAAAGAAUAGGUGAGCCCUGUCCUCCCAAACAAAGGCAUUACAGAUGACACAUAGAUGAUCAGCCGUAGGGGACCUCCGGUGGCUGCGGACCAGCACGUCCUUUGUGUUGAGUCUGUCAAAGAAUAGGAGCCAGCCAAAAACCUUAAUUUUCAUAGUACAUAUGCUCUGCCAAAGCCACCUGCAGGGUUUAAUAGUUGGGAGGUGUGUAUGCAUGAUGUCAUAGAAGCUCUUUGCAGAAAACUGUCCAGAUUUACCAGGCCAAAUCCAAACAUCAGGCAAUGUUGGAUCUCUCUGGAGAUUGAACAUCCUUCCUUCCAAGGAUUCCAAUUCUGCUGCUGCCUGCUGAGAAAUUGGCAGAUGAAACAUUGAGAACAAAUCCUGGGUUUGCAAAAACUCCCUGACAGAAACCUUAUCAUCCAAAACAAAAGAGAAAAGCCUUGGUAAUCUGAGGCUUAGUGGCCUUGAAGAGCCACCUACAUGGCAAGCAUCCAGCCAAAAGAGAGCAGAAUCACCCAUAUUAACUGGCACUGAAGCAAUUGACCUAUAAGUGUCAGCAAGCUUGAGAAUGUCCUUCCACCAAAAGGAGCCAGUUAGGACUGUUGCAUGGGGCACCACUCCAUCAUAAUAACUAUCCCAAAUCAACUGGACCCAAGGAAUCUGCUGUUUGUUGUAGAACUUAUGCAUUUGUUUGAGAAGCAGACCUUGAUUUUGAACAUUGAGGUUGAGAAUGCCAAGUCCUCCCUUAUCCUUUGGUCUGCAAACUAAAUCACAGGCAGCUAGGGAUUGCUUAGGCACAUCAGAAUUUCCUCUCCACAAACACUGCCUGAAAAUCCUAUCCAACUGUUUGAUAAUACCAGGUGGGAUAUGCAAGCUGCAGAGGAAGUAUAUGGGCAUUGAAGUAAGCACAGAUGUGAGAAAUUGUAACCUGGAUCCUUGGUUGAGCAUGGCAGAGCUAACAGACAGUCUUCUUUCAAGACUAUCCACUAAAGGCAUGAAAUCAAUGAUUCUAGGUCUUGUUGUACCAAGAGGCAAACCCAGAUAUGUGAAAGGUAACUGCUCCGGUUUACAUCCCAGGAUGGAAGACAACCUCUGUGCCUCUGUGGGAUCAACAUUUAGUGGCACCAUUGAAGACUUUCCAAAAUUUACCUUUAGGCCAGUAGACUGUUGGAAAAUAUGGAGCAUGUUCUUGAGAGCCACCAACUGGUCCUGUACUGCAGAAAGGAUAAUUAUUGUGUCAUCUGCAUACUGAAUGAUAGGAAAUUCAGGGUCCUAAGAUGGGAUUGGAAGUGUUAGAACUCCCUUAGCCAGCAUGUUAUUGACCAUUGUUUGAAGAAGAUCGGCAGCUAUGACAAAUAAAAGAGGGGAUAGGGGAUCCCCCUGCCUGACCCCACAUUUAUAUUUGAACUGUUUGCCAGGCACCCCAUUAAGCAAAACAGAUGAUGAUCCUGAGGAGAGAAUCUCUUUAAUCCAAGAAAUCCAUUUGGCAUCAAAACCUUUGUGCUGUAGAACUUGCAAGAUGAAGUCAUGCUCCACAGUGUCAAAAGCUUUGGCAAAAUCCAAUUUCAAAAUGAUGGUUGGCCUUUUGGAUUGAUUGCAUUGAUGUAUAUAUUCAAAAGCCCAAGCCAGGCAGUCCUGAAUGGCUCUGCUCUUCAAAAACCCAUAUUGAUUCUUAUGGAUGCAUUGCAGAAUGACCUUUUGAAGCCUAUUUCCCAAAAGCUUAGUAAGGAACUUGAGGCAUGUGUUAGUAAGAGAGAUUGGUCUAAAAUCCUCAAGUCCUUCAGGAGACAACAUCUUUGGAAUUAAGGUGAUAAGGGAUCCAUUAAUAUUUUCCAAAGAUAGCCUCCCAUCAUAAAACCCCUGAAUGAGAGCCAAGAAAUCCUUCUCAAUGAUGGGCCAACACUUCUUAACAAAAAGACCAUUAAAACCGUGAAAGUGAUGAUGAAGAUUCUCCCCCUAAUAAAUAUGAAUUGCCUGUUGUGCCUGAGGGCUAUGUUAUGGAUGAAGAAAUUGCUAAAGCUAUUUUUGUUUGCAAAGAUAGAUAUGAUCUUAAGAAGUUAUUAGCUAAAUGGAAGCAGCAAUCUCUUAAUGCUAGAAUGAAACCUGACCCUGCUUUUGCUACUUCACCUAUCUGUGUUACUGAUAAGGAUUAUGAAUUCUCUGUUGAUCCUGAUAUAAUUACUUUGGUUGAAUCUGAUCCUUUUCAUGGCUAUGAGUCUAAAACUGUUGUGGCACAUCUUACUAAAUUAAAUGAUAUAGCCACCCUAUUCACUAAUGAUGAGAGAACUCGUUACUUUUAUAUCCUUAAAAUAUUCCUGUUCUCAUUAAAGGGUGAUGCUAAGAUAUGGUUUAAUUCUCUUGAUCCUGGUUGUGUGCGUAGUCCCCAGGAUAUGAUUUAUUACUUCUCUGCUAAAUAUUUCACUGCUCAUAAGAAACAAGCUGCUUUGAGGGAUAUAUAUAAUUUUGUGCAAAUUGAAGAAGAGAGUCUCCCACAAGCUUGGGGGAGGCUUCUCCAAUUACUUAAUGCUUUGCCUGAUCAUCCUCUUAAGAAAAAUGAAAUAUUGGAUAUAUUUUAUAAUGGACUAAGUGAUGCUUCCAGAGAUUACCUGGAUAGUUGUGUUGGUUCUGUUUUCAAGGAAAGAACACCGGAUGAAGCUGAAAUUCUAUUGAAUAAUAUGUUGACAAAAGAAAAUAAUUGGACACUUCCUGAGCCAGCUCCUGAGCCUAUUCCUAAACCAACUCCGAAGAAGAGGGGUAUUCUAUUUCUCAGUCCUGAAGAUAUGCAAGAGGCAAAGAAAUCCAUGAAAGAAAAGGGUAUUAAAGCUGAAGAUGUUAAGAAUUUACCUCCUAUUGAAGAAAUACACGGUCUUAAUUUACCGCCUGUUGAAGAAACAUAUGAUCUUAAUCCAUUACCUAUUGAAGAAAUACAUGGUCUUGAUAACCCGACACAAGUAGUAAAGGUAAACUCUCUCUAUAGAUAUGAUAAAAUUGAAAUCCCUCUUACUAAGUUUGCUAGCCAAUGCUUAGAUGAGUUUGAUAAUUUUAUGGUGAAGCAAGAAGAUUUUAAUUCUUAUUUUGGUAGACAAUUGAAAUACAAUUCAAAUAUGCUUGAACACUUGGGUGAUUAUAUGGCUAAUGUUAAAGGUGAAAUUAAACUUAUUAGCAAACAUGCUUCUAUGGUUACCACUCAAGUAGAACAAGUACUUAAAGCUCAAAAUGAUUUGCUCAAUGAACUGAAUAGUAAGAAUAAUGAUAAUGCUGUUAGAGUUAUGACUAGAGGUGGUAAAAUGACUCAAGAACCUUUGUAUCCUGAAGGCCAUCAUAAGAGAAUUGAGCAAGAUUCUCGGAGAAAUAAUAUAGAUGCACCUAGUUCUUCUAAAAGGAAGAAAAAGAAAAAUGAUAGGACUUUGCAUGCUUCUAGUGAACCUAUUGAUGAAACACCUGAGAAUCCAAAUGAUAUUUCUAUUUCUGAUGCUGAAACACAAUCUGGUAAUGAACCUGAAACUAGUGAUAAUAUUAAUGAUAAUGUUCAUGUUGAUGCUCAACCUAGCAAUGAUAAUGAUAUAGAAAUUGAACCUGUUGUUGAUCUUGAUAACCCACAAUCAAAGAAUCAACGUUAUGAUAAGAGAGACUUUGUUGCUAGGAAACAUGGUAAGGAAAGAGAGCCUUGGGUUCAGAAACCCAUGCCUUUUCCUCCCAAACCAUCCAAGAAAAAGGAUGAUGAGGAUUUUGAGCACUUUGCUGAAAUGAUUAGACCUACCUUUUUGCGUAUGCGAUUAACUGAUAUGCUUAAAAUGAAUCCUUAUGCUAAGUACAUGAAAGAAAUUGUUACUAAUAAAAGAAAGAUACCGGAAGCUGAAAUUUCCACCAUGCUUGCUAAUUAUACUUUUAAAGGUGGAAUACCUAAGAAACUAGGAGAUCCCGGAGUACCAACUAUACCAUGCUCCAUUAAAAGAAAUUAUGUUAAAAUUGCUUUAUGUGAUCUUGGAGUCGGUGUUAGUGUUAUGCCUCUCUCUUUAUAUCAUAGACUUGAUUUGAAUAAGUUGACACCUACUAAAAUAUCUUUGCAAAUGGCUGAUAAAUCAACUGCUAUACCUAUCGGUAUUUGUGAGGAUGUGCCUGCUGUGGUUGCAAACGUUACUAUUUUAAUGGACUUUGUUAUUCUUGAUAUUCCCGAGGACGAUAGUAUGUCUAUUAUUCUUGGAAGACCCUUUUUGAAUACUGCAGGGGCUGUUAUUGAUUGCAACAAAGGCAAUGUCACUUUUCAUGUUAAUGGUAAUGAGCAUACGGUACACUUUCCGAGGAAACAACCUCAAGUCCACAGUAUCAAUUCUAUUGGAAAAAUUCAAUCGAUUAUUUUUGAAGGUUUUGAAUUUCCUCUUCCUACUGUCAAAAGAAAUAUGAUAUUCUUAUUAUUGGGGAUGUGCAUAUCCCCGUUGAGGUAACAUAGUGUUAUUCGAAAUUCCUCCGGUUCCAUGUUAUUCGGAAUGAGUUUGCUAACAAGACUUGAUCAACCAUGUUAACGGAUUCCUUUUGAUGAGCAUGAGAUGGAUGAAACUAGAAGGCACAACUCUCCGUACCCUCCUUUUACUUUCUGUUAUUUAUAUUAAAUAAAAUUAAAAGAAGUAUUUUCCGUCUGUUAUCUGAUUUAUCCGUGCAAUAUAAAAUACCCCGAAAAUAAAAGUUCUCCAAAUGCCUUGAAAUUUAAAUAUGAUUUUUUCUGGAAUAUUUGAGAAUAUUUGGCACUAAGAACACAACACAGGGGGCAUCCACCUGGCCACGAGAGUGGAGGGCGCGCCCUACCCCCCCUGUGCGUGCCCCUUGCCUCGUGGGCCCACGGUGGCCCUCCUCCACUUAUUCCUGCACCCACACACUCCUUCCUCCCAUAAACACGAUUAUCCAGUUCGAACCCAAGUCCAAGCUCAUUUUGCUGCUAUUUUCGAUCUCCUUGCUCAAAGCACCUCUCACAAAACUGCUUGGGGGGAUUGUUCCUUGGUAUGCGACUCCUCCAUUGGUCCAAUUAGUUUUUGUUCUAGUGCUUUAUUCAUUGCAAAUUUAUGUUGUCUAGGUGCCCAUGUUCCUGAGCUUGCAUGUCAAAUUUAUGUGGUUCCAACUAGUUUUGAUGCAUGAUAUAGGCUCUAGGCACUUGUAGGAGUUGUUGCUAUCAAUUUUGUUGAGCUUGGCUCACUUUUAUUUGAAGUUACUAAAAAUUUCAGAAUUUUUCAGAAAAUAAUGAAGAGAUUUUUGAGGGGCUCAUCAAGCCGAAGCUCGAAGGAAAAGCAAAAUGAAAAAGCAGAGAGGCCCGAAUAUAAUCUGCCUCGCACCGCAGAGGUUCGGCCGUGUGAAUGGCCUUCCAAUGAUUUCUUGAGAGCAGUCGGGAUUUAUGAUGAUUUUUAUGAAUUGGCUGAGAAUGUAGGCCUCACCGCCUUCCUCCAUGACCAACGCGAACAAUAUCUCUUACUCACCAAUAUCUUUGUGCAAAACUUUCAUUUCCAUGCUAGGAGCUCACCACCUACGGUGGAGUUUUAUUUGUAUGAUGAGCACAAGGAGAUGUCACUUUACGAUUUCUGUCGGGUUUGAUUGAUCCCUUUCGAGGGCACAAUAGAGGAACCACACCGCGGUGAUGUGGAUGGGUUUAUAGAUACCAUCACUGUAGGGGAAACGAGGAAGGUUUCCGAUGCACGAAUCACUAGCAUACAUUUUCCUGUUUUACGCUACUUUGCAAUAUUUGCUAGUCGUUGCUUAAUUGGUCGCGAAAACUGUGGAAACCUUAGUGUUCCUGAUAUUAUUAUUUUGUUCCACGGUUUAUUCUGUGAUAAAUCUGUUAGUAUGGGCGGUAUUAUUGCUAAACGGUUAAGUCUCAACUGUACAAAGGGCCCCAUCUUUGGAGGCAUCUAUGCUUCACGCCUAACUGCGCAUUUUAACAUACCUAUUAAGCAUUAUGAGAAGGAAGAAAAAUUGCUGCCCCUGUUUAUUUAGAUUAUAAGAGUAUGGUGGCACACGAUUUUAUUGUUAAGAAUAGGAAAGGGGAGCUUAAAUACAAAUUGUUCUUUGAUAAACAUCAUCCUGAGACUAUUACCCUGCCUACUCCUUCCUUGUUUGAUUUAUCUCCAGGCAAGUACCUUGUUCCGUUAGAGGCUAUUCACGCCUACCGGAACAUUGCAUCAGCCACAGAGCCAGAGUCGGAACCACUAGUUGAUCCUCCACGACAGUCUAAUUACCAUUGGGAUCCAGAAAUGAUAGCCACCAGUGGAAAUCAGAGUCUUCUUCGCAGUACGACCCCAACUAUUACUAUGGAUAUCCGCCAGGCCAGCCGUGGCCAUAGACCAACUUAGGUCAAAAGCCUAAACUUGGGGGAGUACGUAUUUCCCGCCGACAUUACAUUCAUGUUCGCACACUCAUUGCUAGAUGUCGGUGCUCAUACUUUUUCAUUGUAUCAUCCAUGCUAGUUCAUUUCCUUUUUAAGCUUUCUUCUUGUGUGUUUAAUAAACCUUAAGAAAAACCAAAAAAACUAGUUGUAGCUUUUAGCUAGUUUUAAUUUCCAUGCUUGUAGUAGUAAUUAAAAAGAAAACCCAAAAAAAGAUUUCUUGUUCUUGUUUUGCUCGUUGGGAGCUUUCCCGUGUAAAUAGUUUUAUUUCUUUUCUUUGGGGGUCGAUAGGAGAAUACCAUGAUUAAAUUGUUGAAGUGGCUCUUAUAUAUAUUUUUUAUCUGACAAAAGAGCCCAUAUUGCCUUGUCUUCUCCAGUUUAUUGAAUGCUUGCAGAUUCCAGCUUAGUCCAAUGCACGCGCACUAUUAUUAUUAUCCACAUCGUUCGGUCGUGCAAGUGAAAGGCAAUUAUGACAAUAUAUGAUGGACUGACUGAGAUGAGAAAAGCUGGUAUAAACUCAACCUCUCUUGUUUUUGUAAAUAUGAUUAGUUCAUCGUUCCUGAUUCAGCCUAUUAUGAAUAAACAUGUUUGCAAUGACAACUAGAGAUCAUAGUUUCUUGUGCCAUGCUUGAUUAGCUAGGAGCUUAUAAUGGUUUACCUUGCGUGCCAACAUGCUAUUAAAAUGGUUGUGAUGUGGUAUGAUAGGGUGGUAUCCUCCUCUGAAUGAUUUGAGUGGCUUGACUUGGCACAUGCUCACGCAUGUAGUUGAAAUAAAAUCAACAUAUCCUCUACGAUAUUUAUGUUCAUGGGGAAUUAUAUCCUACUCAUGCUUGCAUUUGGUGUUGAUUAAUUUUAAUGCAUGUUUAUGAGUGUUGUCGCUCUCUAGCUGGUUGCUUCCCAGUCUUUUGCUAGCCUUCACCUGUACUAAGCGGGAAUACUGCUUGUGCAUCCAAUCCCAUAAACCCCAAAGUUAUUCCAUAUGAGUCCACCAUACCUACCUAUUUACGGUAUCUACCUGCCGUUCCAAGUAAAUUUGUAUGUGCCAAACUCUAAACCUUCAAAUAAAUAUCAUGUUUUGUAUGCUCGAAUAGCUCAUGUAUCAACUAGGGCUGUCUGUAUCUUCCAUGUUAGGCGGGUUAUUCUCAAGAGGAGUGGACUCCGCUCCUCACUCACGAGAAAAUGGCUGGUCACCGGGAUGCCCAGUCCCAUGCUUUAUGCAAAUCAAAUCAAAAUAAUUGCAAACAAAACUCUCCCUAGGACUCUUGUUAGUUGGAGGCACUCGUUGUUUUGAGCAAGCCAUGGAUUGAUGCUUGUUAGUGGAAGGGGAGUAUAAACUUUACCAUUCUGUUUGGGAACCGCCUAUAAUGUGUGUAGCAUAGAAUAUAUCGCCCUCUCUUGGUUGUUAUGUUGACAAUGAAAGUAUACUGCUCAAAAUAUUAUUCACCUCUAUUUCAAAACCGAGCUCUGGCACCUCUACAAAUCCCUGCUUCCCUCUGCGAAGGGCCUAUCUAUUUACUUUUAUGUUGACUCAUCAUCCUCUUAUUAAAAAUCACAAGUUGGAGAGCACCGCUGUCAUUUGCAUUCAUUACUGUUAGUUUACAUUGAGUAUGACUGGACUGGAUCUCUUUUACCAUGAAUUACAAUGUCUAGUCAGUCCUUGAUCUUUAAAGGUGCUCUGCAUUUAUGUUUUGCGGUCUCAGAAAGGGCUAGCGAGAUACCAUCUUGUUAUAUCAUAUCAUGAUUGUUUUGAGAAAGUGUUGUCAUCUGAGAUUUAUUAUAUUGCUCGCUAGUUGAUUAUGCCAUUGAUAUGAGUAAACAUGAGACCUAAAUGUUAUUGUGAAUAUGGUUAGUUCAUAAUCUUUGCUGAAAACUUGAAUGCUGGCUCUACAUAUUUACAACAACAAGAGCAAACAGAGUUUGUAAAAGUUUUUCUUUAUCACUUUCAGCUUAUCAACUGAACUGCUUGAGGACAAGCAAAGGUUUAAGCUUUGGGCAGUUGAUACGUCUUCGUCGUAUCUACUUUUCCAAACACUUUUGCCCUUGUUUUGGACUCUAACUUGCAUGAUUUGAAUGGAACUAGCCCGGACUUACGCUGUUUUCAGCAGAAUUGCCAUGGUGUUAUUUUUGUGCAGAUAUAAAAGUUCUCGGAAUGACCCGAAAAUCAACGGAGAAUUAUUUUGGAAUACAUAAAUAAUACUGGAAGGAAGAUCCACGUCAGGGGGGCCUCCACCUGUCCACGAGGGUGGGGGCGCGCCCUACCCCCCUGGUGCUACCUCUUGAGCACUGCGUUGGUUUUCCCUUGAAGAGGAAAGGGUGAUGCAGUAAAGUAGCGUAAGUAUUCCCCUCAGUUUUUGAGAACCAAGGUAUCAAUCCAGUAGGAGAUCACGCUCGAGUCCCACGCACCUACACAACCAAAUAAGAACCUCGCAACCAACGCGAUAAAGGGGUUGUCAAUCCCUUCACGGUCACUUACGAGAGUGAGAUCUGAUAGAUAUGGUAAGAUAAUAUUUUGGUAUUUUUAUGAUAAAGAGAAAUAAAGAUGCAAAGAAAAAUAAACGGCAAUAGAAAUAACUAAGUAUCACCUGGGCGCACCCCCUGCCUCGUGGGCCCCCUGACGCUCCACCAACCUCAACCCUGACUUCAUAUAUUCACUUUCGGGGAGAAAAAACCAGAGAGAAAGAUUCAUCACAUUUUACGAUACGGAGCCGCCGCCAAGCCCUAAACUCUCUCGGGAGGGCUGAUCUGGAGUCCGUUCGGGGCUCCGAAGAGGGGAAUCCAUCGCCAUCAUCAUCAUCAACCUUCCUCCAUCACCAAUUUCAUGAUGCUCACCGUCGUGCGUGCAUAAUUCCAUCGUAGGCUUGCUGGACGGUGAUGGGUUGGAUGAGAUUUAUCAUGUAAUCGAGUUAGUUUUGUUAGGGUUUGAUCCCUAGUAUCCACUAUGUUCUGAGAUUGAUGUUGCUAUGACUUUGCUAUGCUUAAUGCUUGUCACUAGGGCCCGAGUGCCAUGAUUUCAGAUCUGAACCUAUUAUGUUAUCAUCAAUAUAUGAGCGUUCUUGAUCCUAUCUUGCAAGUCUAUAGUCACCUACUAUGUGUUAUGAUCCGGCAACCCCGAAGUGACAAUAAUCGGGACCACUCCUGGUGAUGACCGUAGUUUGAGGAGUUCAUGUAUUCACUAUGUGUUAAUGCUUUGGUCCGGUACUCUAUUAAAAGGAGGCCUUAAUAUCCCUUAGUUUCUGCUAGGACCCCGCUUCCACGGGAGGGUAGGACAAAAGAUGUCAUGCAAGUUCUUUUCCAUAAGCACGUAUGACUAUAUUCGGAAUACAUGCCUACAUUACAUUAAUGAAUUGGAGCUAGUUCUAUGUCACCCUAGGUUAUGAUUGUUACAUGAUGAACCGCAUCCGACAUAAUUCUCUAUCACUGAUCCAUUGCCUACGAGCUUUCCAUAUAUUGUUCUUCGCUUAUUUACUUUUCCAUUGCUAUUGCUAUCAUCACUACAAAAUACCAAAAACAUUACUUUUGCUAUCGUUACCUUUUGCUGCCGUUACCACUACUAUCAUAUUACUUUGCUACUAAACACUUUGCUGCAGAUAUUAAGUUUCCAGGUGUGGUUGAAUUGACAAGUCAGCUGCUAAUAGUUGAGAAUAUUCUUUGGCUCCCCUUGUGUUGAAUCAAUAAAUUUGGGUUGAAUACUCUACCCUUGAAAACUGUUGCGAUCCCCUAUACUUGUGGGUUAUCAUUGCUCCUGCAGCGGGUCUUGCACAUAGCGGUGCUUCCAGGACGUAAUUCUUCUGUGUAGCAAUGAGGAUAAUCCUCAAGUUACGGACCUAGUCCAUGUAGUUGCUACCAUCAUCUUUCAACUUAGGUUUCUCUACGAACGCAUUAAAAUUCAAAGGGACAUUAGCACGGGCCAUUGAUCUACAACAACAUAGACAUGCAAACUACUAUCAGGUGCUAAGUUCAUGAUAAAUUAAAGUUCAAUUAAUCAUAUUACUUAAGAACUCCCACUUAGAUAGACAUCCCUCUAGUCAUCUAAAUGAUCACGUGAUCCAUAUCAACUAAACCAUGUCCGAUCAUCUCGUGAGAUGGAGUAGUUUCAAUGGUGAACAUCACUAUGUUGAUCAUAUCUACUAUAUGAUUCACGCUCGACCUUUCGGUCUCAGUGUUCCGAGGCCAUAUCUGCAUAUGCUAGGCUCGUCAAGUUUAACCCGAGUAUUCUGCGUGUGCAAAACUGGCUUGCACCCGUUGUAUGUGAACGUAGAGCUUAUCACACCCGGUUAUCACGUGGUGUCUCGGCACGACGAACUAUAGCAAUGGUGCAUACUCAGAGAGAACACUUGUACCUUGAAAUUUAGUGAGAGAUCAUCUUAUAAUGCUACCGCCGUACUAAGCAAAAUAAGAUGCAUAAAGGAUAAACAUCACAUGCAAUCAAAAUAAGUGAUAUGAUAUGGCCAUCAUCAUCUUGUGCCUUUGAUCUCCAUCUCCAAAGAACCGUUAUGAUCACCAUCAUCACCGGCUUGACACCUUGAUCUCCAUCGUAGCAUCGUUGUCAUCUCGCCAACUAUUGCUUCUACGACUAUCGCUACCACUUAGUGAUAACGUAAAGCAAUUACAUGGCGAUUGCAUUUCAUACAAUAAAGCGACAACCAUAAGGCUCCUGCCAGUUGCCGAUAACUUUUACAAAACAUGAUCAUCUCAUACAACAACUUAUAUAUCAUCACGCAAAAACAAGUUAGACGUCCUCUACUUUGUUGUUGCAAGUUUUACGUGGCUGCUACAGGCUUCUAGCAAGAACCGUUCUUAUCUACGCAUCAAAACCACAAUGAUUUUUCAUCAAGUGUGUUGUUUUAACCUUCAACAAGGACCGGGCGUAGUCAAACUCGAUUCAACUAAAGUUGGAGAAACAGACACCCAGUAGCCACCUGUGUGUGAAGCACCUCGAUGGAACCAGUCUCAUGAACGCGGUCAUGUAAUGUCGGCCUGAGCUGCUUCAUCCAACAAUACCGCCAAAUCAAAGUAAGACGUUGCUGGUAAGAAGUAUGACUAUUAUCGUCCACAACUCAUUGUGUUCUACUCGUGCAUAUAACAUCUACGCAUAGACCUGGCUCGGAUGUCAUUGUUGGGGAACGUAGUAUUUCAAAAAAAAUCAUACGAUCACGCAAGAUAUAUCUAGGAGAAGCAUAGCAAUGAGCGGGGAGAGUGUGUUCACGUACCCUCGUAGACCGAAAGCGGAAGCGUUUAGUAACACGGUUGAUGUAGUCGAACGUCUUUGCGAUCCAAUCGAUCCAAACACCAAACGUACGACACCUCCGCGUUCAGCACACGUUCAGCUUGAUGACAUCCCUCGAGCUCUUGAUCCAGUUGAGGCCGAGGGAUAGUUCCGUCAGCACGAUGGCGUGGCGACGGUGAUGAUGAAGUUACCGGCGCAGGGCUUCGCCUAAGAACUACGACGAUAUGACCGAGGUGUGUAACUGUGGAGGGGGGCAACGCCCACGGCUAAGAGAAACUUGUGUCUUUGGGGUGCCCCCCUCCCACGUAUAUAAAUGGGGGGAGGAGGCCGGCCCAAAGGGGGGCGCGCCACAUGUUGGGGGUCCUACUAGGACUCCCUAGUCCUAGUAGGAUUCCCCUCUCCUUUCCUUUUACGGAAGGGGGAAAGGGGGGAAGGAGAGGAGGGGAAGAGGGAAAGGGGGCACGCCCCCUCCCCUUCCUAUUCGGACUCCACUUGGGGGGACGCGCACGCCUCCCCCUUGUGGGUUGUACCCUCUUCUCUCCCAUGGCCCAUAAGGCCCAUGAUUUCCCCCGGGGGGUUCCGGUAACCUCCCGGUACUCCAGAAAAAUGCUCGAAUCACUCGGAAUCAUUCUGAUGUUUGAAUGCAACCUUCCAAUAUAUGAAUCUUUACCUCUCGACCAUUUCUGUGAUCUCAUCCGGGACUCCGGACAAACUUCAGUCAUCAAAUCACAUAACUCAUAAUACAAAUUGGCACGAACGUUAAGCAUGCGGACCCUAUGGGUUUGAGAACUAUGUAGACAUGACUGAGACACAUCUCCGGUCAUUAACCAAUAGCGGAACCUGGAUGCUCAUAUUGGCUCCUACAUAUUCUACGAAGAUCUUUAUCGGUCAAACCGCAUAACAACAUACGUAGUUCCCUUUGUCAUAUGUAUGUUAUUUGCCCGAGAUCCGAUCGUCGGUAUCCCCAUACCUAGUUCAAUCUCGUUACCGUCAAGUAUCUUUACUUGUUCCGUAAUGCAUCAUCAUGUAACUAACUCAUUAGUCACAUUGCUUGCAAGGCUUAUAGUGAUGUGCAUUACCGAGAGGGCUUAGAGAUACCUCUCUGAUACACGAAGUGGCAAAUCCUAAUCUCGAUCUAUGCCAACUCAACAAACACCAUCAGAGACACCUGUAGAGCAUCUUUAUAAUCACCCAGUUACAUUGUGACGUUUGAUAGCACACUAAGUGUUCCUCCGGUAUUCGGGAGUUGCAUAAUCUCAUAGUCAUAGGAACAUGUAUAAGUCAUAAAGAAAGCAAUAGCAAUAAAAUUAAACGAUCAUUAUGCUAAGAUAACGGAUGGGUCUUGUCCAUCACAUCAUUCUCUAAUGAUGUGAUCCCGUUCAUCAAAUGACAACACAUGUCUAUGGUUAGGAAACUUAACCAUCUUUGAUUAACGAGCUAGUCUAGUAGAGGCAUACUAGGGACACUCUGUUUGUCUAUGUAUUCACACAUGUACUAAGUUUCUGGUUAAUACAAUUCUAGCAUGAAUAACAAAGAUUUAUCAUGAUAUAAGGAAAUAUAAAUAACAACUUUAUUAUUGCCUCUAGGGCAUAUUUCCUUCAGGAAGAGCAUCGCGGGUGGGAGGGAGAAGGGGAAUUAAGAGAGUGUGGGUUUGGGUUUGGGCCUCCGCGUGCUAUGUGUACACAUGUGUUGGUGGGUCGAUAGUAGUGGUCCUGGGUUUAUACCCCACGCUACUACUAUGGCCUAUCCCGGGGGUACGGUAGAGACCGCUUAGUAGUAGCGAGGGAUUUAUACCCCUCACUACUACUAUCAACUUAGUAGUAGUGAGGGAUUUAUACCCCUCGCUACUACUAUCAACUUAGUAGUAGUGAGGGAUUUAUACCCCUCGAUACUACUAUGGCCAGUCCCGGGGGGCACGGUGGAGACCACUUAGUAGUAGUGUGGGGUUUAUACCCCUCGCUACUACUAUCAACUUAGUAGUAGUGUGGGUUCUAUACCCCUCGCUACCAAUAAUUAGCAGCAGUGUGGCCCAUAUACCCCUCGCUACGGUUAAGCAUCUAUCUAUAAAGUAUUUUCUAGUAGUGCAUCGAUGGCGGCGAAAUCAGUCGUUCUGCUUGUUUUCCCUACUAGCUCUCUGACGUCCAGAACAAGUUUACGGUCAUAAGGUGCAAUAACCUUGCCUUCAUGAGUGACACGAUGACACGGGAACAGGCUUCCAAGCCUAUGGUGUCGCAUCAUGUCGUGGUCUGCUAGACUUAGUGGACGAAUGCUACUACAAUAUCGGUUGAUCUCAUACUACAAUACCAAGGAAGACACGCAACUACUAUAUAUAUUUCUUCAAGUCAGUCAACACAAGUAAAAUCUGGGAGUUCAACUGGUGCAGCUAUGCAAUGCUAAUGGAGACAACACAAUUCAACUUUAGCACUUCACACAUAAGCAACACCACGUUCAAUGGCACACACCUUAGAGUGUACCUAUGGUGGUUGAUUGGGCUAUAAGAAAUGUGAGUCCAUGUGAAGAUGCCAAAUAUAAUAACACGGCUAAUUACACAUGCAGUGGCAGCAGCAACAAGUGCAUGAAUUCCACAAAUGAUCUAGGGUACACAUGCAACUGUGUCCUUGAGUAUGACAACAACCCUUAUCUUCUAGACAAAUGCAUGGUAUGCUACUAAUUUAUUUGCUAAAUAUUCCAAUGAAUUGUGUCCUUUACUUUGUACAUACCCAAUUAUAAUAUUUUAUUUUGCUAAUACAAUGUAGCCUUCAAUUUAAACCAAGGUUUGCAUCCAUUAAUUAUGUUAGGUUCAUAUGACUUCACUACAUAAAUAGGUAGAUAAUGCAUAAGACUGAGAUUGUAGCUAGGGAUGAAAAUCUAAAUACGGCAUGAAUCUAACAAUUAUGAGUAAUGUCUUUGUGACAAGAACUUUCUUUGUCUUUUAUUCCCAUGUUUGAACUAGUAUAGGUCAGGGUUACACAUUAUGGUGCACAUCACUUUAUUUGUCAUCGUUACAUUGAACACUCAUUGACUAAACAACGAUGAUCCAUCCGUCUUGUAUUACAGGUCUUCAUUUCAUUGGCCACCGAUGCUUGUAAGACUACUCCCAGAUGGUUGUUGUUGUGGAUAUGGUUGUUGAGGUUGGUGUGGUUGCUGGGGGAAUGGUUGUUGGGGUUGCUGGGAAAUUGUUUGUUCUAGUUGCUGGGAUAAUUGUUGUUGGGGCUGCAGAAAUGGUUGUUGUGGUUGUUGUGGUUGCAGGAUGGAGGGUUGCUGGGAAAAUGGUUGUUGCGGUCGUAGGGGGAAUGGUUGUUGUGGUUGUAGAGGGAAAGGUUGUUGUGGUUGUUGAGGGAAUGGUUGUUGUGGUUGUUGGGGGAAUGAUUGUUGUGGUUGCAGGGGGAAUGGUUGUUGUGGUUGCUGGGGGAANNNNNNNNNNNNNNNNNNNNNNNNNNNNNNNNNNNNNNNNNNNNNNNNNNNNNNNNNNNNNNNNNNNNNNNNNNNNNNNNNNNNNNNNNNNNNNNNNNNNNNNNNNNNNNNNNNNNNNNNNNNNNNNNNNNNNNNNNNNNNNNNNNNNNNNNNNNNNNNNNNNNNNNNNNNNNNNNNNNNNNNNNNNNNNNNNNNNNNNNNNNNNNNNNNNNNNNNNNNNNNNNNNNNNNNNNNNNNNNNNNNNNNNNNNNNNNNNNNNNNNNNNNNNNNNNNNNNNNNNNNNNNNNNNNNNNNNNNNNNNNNNNNNNNNNNNNNNNNNNNNNNNNNNNNNNNNNNNNNNNNNNNNNNNNNNNNNNNNNNNNNNNNNNNNNNNNNNNNNNNNNNNNNNNNNNNNNNNNNNNNNNNNNNNNNNNNNNNNNUGGUUGCAGAGGGAACGAUUGUUGGGUCUGGGGAAAUGGUUGUUGUGGUUGCCAGGAAAAUGGUUGUUGGGGCUGUGGAAAAGGUUGUUGUGGUUGUUGGGGUUGCUGGGGGAAUGGUUGUUGUGGUUGUAAGGGGGUCGGUUGUUGGGGUUGGGGAAAUAAUUGUUGUGAUUGCUGGGGAAAUUGUUGUUGGGGUGUGGAAAAUGGUUGUUGUGAUGGAUAUGGUUGCUGUGAUGGAUAUGGUUGUUGUGGAUAUGGCUGUUGUGGAAAUAGUUUUUGUUGAUGGGAAAAUGAUUGUUGAGGUGAUUGUAACUCUUUGUUGUUAGGGUUUAGUUGCCUAGCGGCAAUGGCGGUGUUCAUCGCCAUGGCAAGGAGGACAAAGAUGAGGAAGGUCUUCAUGUUGGAUUUGUGGUUACUACUGCUUGCUUGCCUUUGAUGCUUGUGGUCUAGGUGUGUGAAGUUUUGUUGAUGGAAGGUGUCCUUGGUGGUGCAUGUGUAUUUAUAGUUUUCAUGGCAUGGCUUGCUUUCAUCUUUGCACUCGCUCUUUGAAAAAGUGCAUCAAUGCUUAUCCAACUAAUCAUUUGGUUUGUUGUGUUUGGUGCAACUACUUACUAGUGAGAUUUUGGAUUUUCAUGAUAGUUGUUUUUUGUUGAAAUCAUCUGGUUGUAAGGAAUGUUGGAUAAUGACCAAUGACUCAUCUUCUUCACUUUACACUGCAAACAUUGAUCUAGAUUAUGUCCCUUUUUGAAAUUUAGUUUGUGGAGCUCUACAUGUUGUUAGGCUUAUCCAUAUUGGCAUAGCUUGAGUGGAGCUAAGUUUGUAAGCUUGUGUGCGCCAUUAUGAUGGAUCACACUAUUAAUGUGAUGAUUGUUUUACAAAUUAUCUUUCCAAAACUAACUUUAUGUUUUUUGCCCAAUAUGAUUCUAAGACGGAUAACCAGACAUGACUCAUCAAAUAACAAGAUAAACCGAGUAGCAAGUUGGGGGUUAUAAGUUAUAAUAUGGACUUUUCUCUAAGAUACACCAUCUUGUCUUGCAUGCUCUGUGGAUUUGAAAAGCAUCUACUAAUUUAGAUGCAAUUGAAACAAAAGUAGACUAAAAAGGUAAGCAAUGAAAUGAGAAUACUAUUAUGUGAAGCUCUACAUGUCUGGUAAGCAGUGAGAUACUGGAUACAUCUAUAUCUUCAAUCCUUUCAUCCCUAUCAACUCUUUAUUGGCUGCUUUUAUCGUAGUCAUCCCUUAAAUAAAAAUCACUUAAAUAUAAGUUUGGGAGUUAGUACCAACAUAUAUCAUGUACAAGAUAGAAAACUAAGGCACAUAUAGUAGUCUAUUGACCAUAUUUAAUUUCUUGUGAUGUGAAAGCAUGUGGAGUAUAAGUUGGUUAAAUAUAAAGUUGUCCUUCAUACCAGUAGGGAAAGAAUAUGCAGUAUAAAGAUUAGAGCAUUGGACUAAUAUGCUAUUAAAUGCUACAGGAUAAUUGACAGUUCAAGUUAAGAACAACAUUAGCAUUCCAACUUUUGUCUUGUGCAAGUUAAGAACAUGCUAACAAAGUAACCUAAGCAAAUAAGUGCAAAACCUUCACCUAUAAGGAAAUUGUGAAACUACACAAAAUGACCUAUUGUAAAGAAGGAAAAAAAUCUAAAGGUGAAUGAAAGAACGUUAAGUACAUUCAGGAUUCGAUUAUGCCUUCAUGGAUAACCUUUUAGAUGGUGACAUGUCCAUGUUGAUGUGUGUCGGCAUGGAACGAGGACAAGAAGACGUCGUUGCGUCGUACUUUGGGAAUUUCAUCAAACUGGUUGUGUGCGGGAACAAAUAUUUGUCGCCUCCCUGCUCAAAUCUCUCUUCAUGUCACUGAAUCCGACACUCCACCUACCAAAAUCAGCUGCAAGCCAGGGAUAAUCAACGGGUUUCUCCGCCCGUAGCAUCUAUCACCAAAAGUAGUUCAGACUAUAGUCUUGUAGUUCAAAAUUUUGUAAUAACAAGCACUACUAGGUUGCUUUUGUUUGUACGUCUUCAUUCUGUACAACCCAUGGAACUAAAAAUGCAUUGGUCAUUCUUUGUUCUAUACAACCAAUUCAACCAAAAAUGCAUUGGGCUUUUCUUUGUACAUCUUCGGGUUCUACAACCAAUGCAACAAAAAAUCCAUUGGGUAGUCUUCCAUUCUAGUCGGGCACCAACAGUUAAAUGAGGAGCUAAACAAUGUUGGAGUCUAAAACUACAUACAAUCAUGAAGCAUAGAGAGGCGACUUGGAAGCUGUGCUCCUGUGAGCUCGUAUUUUUGUAGACAAAAAGUAAUGUUUGUAUUUUGAAGUGGGAAAAAAUCCUAAAAAGGGAUGUUUUGCGGGUUAUAACUUACUAUUUUUGGGUCCUGGGCUGCAGGAAGGUCGUCAAAAUCAAUGUGUUUUCCCAUUCAAUGCAUGUUUCUUGGGUUAUAGGUCACGCUUUUGGUGUCCUAGGGAGAUCACUUCCCCGGUCAAGAACAUUAGGUGAUGAUUUUUAGAAAAACUCAUUGUUUUAGCCUAACUAGUUUCGAGGAUUGGUGGACGGGAUUAUCAUGGAACAAAGUGACAACCUUCCUUUUCUUCAUGCCUAAUAUAAACUUAGCAGUCAGCUAAAAGUAACUAGCGAUAUCACAGAAUGUUUUUUGUCAAAAGUAGAUACCACUUCAGGAUUCAACUCGGUUAGUUCAAUCACAGACAUGUUAAGAGCAGGAUUUACAACUAACUGCAUAGGGAACAUCUCCUUUUAUCACCCACUAUCUGUCUGUGCACUUUGGUUUUCCCGUAGCAUCACACAAAGCACUUUGUUAGUACCAAUAAUGUGCUCCAACUCUACACAUUAAUCAUCUUGAAUUCUUCUACUGAUGUCGAACAAUGUAAUAUCUUGAAUUCUUCUAACGAGUUCGGAUUAGACUACAUGGGCAAUUUAUCUGGUCCCUGAGAUGCAAGGUCGAUGAACAAUCGCUUCGUCUUAUGACGAGGGGUUGUUUUUGCCUAAGAAACUAAUACAUGUAACUUCGACACCGGAUUAAUAAAUGGUAAAACCUAAAUAAAUUAGAUCACGAGCUAAACCAUUUACUUUUGUAUGCAUUUAAACUUUUGAUACAUAUGAGCUUGUUAAGAUGUUCGCAUAAACACCAUGGUGAUUUGAAGCAAGACAAAGUAAACUUGAACCGCUUGAGCCACUGACUUAAUAAGAACCUCCUUUCCCGCGGCAGAGAUUGUUUUUAAUACAUCCACUCACUUUGGCCCAUAGUUUGUCUUUGAGAUACUUAAAAGCACUAGACAUAGAAUUGACAAUAUUAGAAGGCAAGCCCAAAUAUUUCACAUUUAGUGUUUCUACUUGGACACUGAGACCACCUUUGACCUCAUUUUUGACAUUCUCUCUGCAAUCCUUGCUGAGAAACACUGAAGGCUUCCUAUUUAUUUAUUCUUGACCUAAAGCUUCAUUGCGUCUUGCCUUGGUCUUGCACUACUUGCGGCACAAUACGCCUUUGGAACUGCCGUUCCGAAUUCAGAGUGCCGAAGGUGGUGUGACGAUGUUGAGAUACCGUACUCGUUCGGUAGUGAUUCGGGUUGAUCAUUCAGAGUAGACUUUGACAAUAGCUGCAAGGACAAGAUUGCAUUAGGGAGCCUUUUAAUUACACCUCGGAGGUGCUCAGCAUCUUCUUGAUGAACAACAUGGUCCUAGUGUUGAAUAAUAUCAUAUGGGGUAGUGCUACAACAACUCCACCACAAGCAUGGAGGAAUUUAGCAAAUUCCAUCAGUACUAGGAGAAAGCCUAGUAGCAACGCGAGGUAAAGGACUACUAGUAGCGCGGGUGCCCACGCUACUACUAGGGUGCUACAGCUAAUUGGUAGUAGUAGCGUGGGUGACACCCUGCGCUACUACCACGUCUGUUAGUAUAGUAGCGCGAGUGUCACCCGCACUACUACUAGUUAUCUGUAGCCCGGGUCUGACCCCACGCUACUACUAACUAAUUAGGAAUUAAAAAAAUAAAUUCCAUCCAUGGUUGCUGCUGCUGGGCGUCAUCGUCCUCUCCGUCCAUGGCUGAUGUUGGUCCUGGAGGGGAUGACGUCGUCCAUGGUGAUGGUACUUCCUCACCCAAAUCGUCCCCACACCUCUCCUAUGCUACUGCUACAAAAUAAGAGAAAACGAUUAGAAGAGGAAGAGAGAUAUUGAGAGGAGUAGGAGGAGCAACUGACCGGUGGCCGCCGGAGUUGGAGCUGAUGCCCGAAACCCUAGACGAUGCCCGGUGACCUGUUGCUUCUUUUCCUGGGACCUCAUGUCCUCACAAGGCCAUGUCUCAGCGAGGAAGUGCAAGUGGUUGCGUAGCAGAUCUGUUCAUCGCCAUUGGUGGCGCUCUGUUGGAUCUUCCUCUCCUUCCAGCAUCGGAGAAGGAGGAGGAAGGAGGCGAAGGUGAGGCGUAAGUCAGUGGCCCAAAAUUUUUAUAUAGAUGAGACUUACUAAGUAAUAACCCCAUAGAAUCUAUCUAUAUAAAGAUAAAGAGGCAAUCGUGUCAGGAAGCGGGUUUUUCUUUGGCCAAAAGGUACUUAGAACUUGGAACGAGCAUGAAGAGAUUAACGAGACUUCUUUCUCUUUUGAGUUUUUCUGGCGGACCUGCCGCGCAAGAUCUUUGGUCUUCCCCUGGAACCGAUGAAAAAAAGUGGAUUGCUUCUUAUGUACUCGCUCAGCUUAAGAUGCUCGCAUAAUCCCCGUGGUAAUUUGAAGCAAUACAUAGAGUAAACUAGAACUGCUUGAGCCACUAACUUAAUGAGAACCUCCUUUCCCGUAGGAUAUAUCAUUUUUUCAAUCCAUCCAUUCACUUUGGCCCAUAGUAUGUCUUUGAGAUACUUAAAAGCAGUAGAUUAGAAUUACCAAUAUCAUAAGGCAAGCCCAAAUAUUUCUCAUUUAGUGUUUCUGUUGGACACUGAGAACACCUUUGACCUCAUAUCUAACAUUCUCUACACAACCCUUGCUGAGAAACACUGAAGACUUGCUAUUAUUUAUUCUUUGACCUGAAACUUGGCAAUAGGUUUGACACAUCUGUCGCCCCUGAACCAUUUGCCUUGAAAAACAGCAGGCUGUCAUCUGCAAAUAACAAGUGGUUAACUGAUGCCACCAAAGGAGCUACUUGGAUUCCAGUAAACUGGGAUGACUAGUCUCUAGAUUUGAGGAGGCCCGAAAGGCCAUGUACUGCUAACAGGAAAAUCAAGGUGAAUUGGAUCUUGCUGCCGUAUACCACGGGUAGGUUUGAGCUCAUCAAGUUUCUUGCUCUUGAAUAAAAUUGAAUAAGAUACAGAAGCUACCAUGCUCAUUUCUAUGGAGGCCCAUUUAACAGAGAAUCCAAAGUUGAGAUUUAUCACCUCCAAAUACGCCCAUUCAACUAGAUUAUAAGCCUUCAUCAUAUCCAAUUUUAGAGUACAAUGGUGAUGUUACAAUGACUUAUUCCUUUUCAUGAAAUGUAAGCACUCGUAGGCCACGAUUAUAUUGUCAGUGAUAAGGCGACCCGGAACAGAAGCCGACUCUUCACUCAAUAUUAUCUCCGGAAGGGCCCCUUUUAGCCGGUUAGCCAGAACUUUGGGUGUUAUUUGUAAAGUUGCAUAGGCUAAUACGACAGAACUGGCUUAGGAAAGUACCAUUUUGUACCUCAUCACUAUCCUCGCCACAAUACAAAGGACAACCAUUGUUACCUCCUCGCCGCAAAUAUCCCAAUGUUUCUCAAAGAAAUGUUCAAAGAAUCCGUCCGGGCCCAAGGCCUUCAUGCGGAACAUUUGAAACAAUACAAUUUAAACCUUGUUGUAGAAUACUUAGCGUCAAGGAAGGCAUUCAUCGCAUCACUGACCUUUACUGGAACCAAGUCAGGAAAUCAUGCAUAUUAGAAACAGUCUCAGAAGUGAAAAGCUCCGAGUAAAACUAUGUUGUGAUCUCUUCCAAUUCCUUAAGAACACUGAUAACAUCACAUUAGGUUGCUACAAUGAUUUGGUCAAAUUAUUCCGCCUUCUCAUCGAAGCCCUUAAGUGAAAGAAGCAUGUGGUCUUGUCCCCACUAAUCAGCCACUUAAUCUGAGAUCUAGUAGGCAAGAUGAGUGACGGGAAGUAGUUCGGAACAAUUUCCUCUUAUUCACUUCUAAAACAAAUUUUCGGUUUUUGUCGUUCCUAAGCCAAGGAUUUGAUAAAUAUUCAUAAAUUUUUAAAAUGUUCACCAAUAUUAAAAACAUCAUGAUUUUAAAAAACCGUGAUUUUUAAACAAAAUCAUAAAUAUGAAAAUUGCCAUUCACAAAAUUUUAAAAUAAAAUCAUGAAUUUUAAAAGAAUUUUCAAAAUUUUGAUAAAUAUCUACGAAUUUUACAACUUUGAUGAAUUUUAAAAACAAACCAUAACAAAAAAACACUAGCAAGUUCGAUCCUAAAAAAUGCCUUGCCUUCUACUAUGCGUAGCGUGCAUGGACAGCCGGACCUAGACACCCUAGACCAAAAACCCUACAUCUGGGCCAGGCCCGAGCUCCAUUUUUUGGCCCAAAGCCCAGCCCAAAAAGGCAGAAAUGGUAAGAAAUGUAUACUUUAUUCAAAAUAUAGGUAUAUUAUAUUGUUUUAGUAUCUCAAAUAAUUAUUUAAAUUGAAAAAUGUCGUUGUUCAUGUGUUUCUGGACGGGCCAAGCCAGGCUCAUGCUUGGGAUUUUUGCUUCGGGCUUUGACAACCUGGCCCGGGGUAUGAUCAAGUUCAGCAUGGCCCAGUCACACACCCUUGUACAACAUUUUGUUGUAGAGAGCGGCAAAUAUAAUUUUCCCGAUCUAAUAUUGCUCGCUAUAAGUCUAUAUCUAUACUUUUUUCUAUACCCAUACUAAUAAAGCAAGGUGCGUUUCCCCAAUUUUUUCAUUCAUUCACUGUCGAAAACAAUUAUGUUUCCUAUCCGAGGUGGUCCUAAAUUCUUAUGCGUUCAUCUGCUAAAAGAAAGGCUUUUCCGGAAUUUCUUACGUGGGUUGCGCGCUAUGGCCAGUGAAGUCAGCCCACUUAUUUUUCUGCCCAUGCAGCUCUAAAAAAUCUAUUUAACACACAGGGCAAGAAAUAGUCGGCACUUCAAACUGGAAAACAAAUAAUGGGCUAGCCAAUUUUUCUUUGUUUCUGUGUUUUAUUUCUAUUUUUAUUCUCCUUCCCCGAUUUCUUUUUUCACUUCCAAGUUUACAUUUCUUAUAGAAUUUAUUUUAUAAAUUCAAAAUUCUCAAAAAACAUAGAGAAUUUUAAAAAAAUGGAAAAUGUUCAUAACUCCAAUUUUUUUGCUAUUUAAAUUUUUUUCAGAACUUGAAUUUUUUCCCUUUUUCCGAAAAUUUUAUUGUUUUUUAAAAUUGUUAGAGAUUUCUAAAAAGAAAAUGGAAAUUUAAAAAGUCUUCCAAAUUCGAAAAAAAAUCAUGUUUUAGUGAAAUUUUCACAACUCAAAUUAUUCUUAAAAAAUACACAUUUUAAAAAGUAAGGAUUUUCAAUACAUGUUCCCGUUCUAAAAAAAUGUUGACAAAUUCAAAUAAUGUUCAUGUUUUUAUUUUAAAAGUUCGUGUUUUCAAAAAUGUUUGUAAAUUCUAAAAGAUGUUCCUAUUUCAUAUUUUGUUCAUGUUUUUCUGAAAGUGUACCUAAUUUUCAAAAAACUGUUCAGGAUUUAAAAAAUGGUUCAUGUUGCCUACAAUAUUGAGAAACUUCAUACCUUAAAAUCUCCUCGAUUGAAGGAACCAUAGAUUGAAUAAUUCAUGGGCCUUCUCUGGUGGACGAUGACGUAGCAAAACUCUUAAAUGCCCUCAAUCAAUGAAUGGAAAAAUAGCGAAUUGAGUACUUCACACCCAGCGAAACAAAGAAGCUAAAUGUUCCCUUUUUACGUGCGCACAGGGUUUUGCUUGCACAAAUAAUUCUCACUAACUUCCAAUGCAUACUAAUUUUUCUCCCAUUGCGAAGCACAAGCAUAUGUGCUAGUUUUAUCCACGGUGGUACUAAAUUUUUUUGAGUCCAUCUGCUAGAAAAAGGAAAAACAGUUUUGUCAAAAUUUUCGUACAUGGGCCGCGCGCGCUGUGGCCCAGCGAAGCUGGCCCAUUUAUUUCCGGCCGAAGCAGCUGAGAAUAAUUAUUUAACGCUUGGGGCGGCAAAUAGACAAAGUUUCGCAUAGGGCGCCAAAUAUUUGGUCGGCCCAUAUUUGUUUUCUCUCUAGUUUGUUUCUUUUUUUAUUUUCCUUUCUCCUUUUCUUAUCUCUUUACUUUUUCUUUUUUCCCUUUCAAGUUAAUUUUUCUUUUCUCCUUUUCCAUAAAUUAAAUUUUUCAAUAUUUCAGAAUUUUAGUUUUGGAUUAAAUUUUCGUAAAAUCUUCAUAAUUAUUUCUCCCCAUUUUGAAUUGUUUUUAAACUAUAAUUUUUUCUUCUUCUUCUUCCAAAAUUUAUUCAAAACUAUAGAAUAAAGUUCGCAUAUUAAUUUUUUUAUGCUUUCCAAAAUUGUUUGAUAUUUUCAAAAUAUAUUGCAUUAAAAAAUUAAAUAUUUAGAUUUUAUUGAAAUGUUAAUUCAAAGUAAUGUUUGUGUUUAAAAACAUGUUUUUCAAAAUUCUUUUCAAUGUCCAAAACACGUUUUCAUUUCCAAAAAAAAUCACGUAUUCAAAACAUGUUUGCUUUCUUAUAAUAGGUUCAUGUUUUCAAAAAACAUAAAUUUCAAAAAAAUUGUCACAUCUUAAAGAAUAUUCAAAAUAUCGUAAUUAUUACUUUAUUUUUUGAAAAAAAUCAAGAAAAACAGAAAAAAAAAUGUAUAUUAUGCUACAGUAUAUUCUUAAAAUUUCGCCCUCGCCAUUUGUUAGCAUGAGCUGUUUGUUCGAGUGGCUAGCAGCACGUGGUCGAGUUUUUGAGGUCAUGAGUUUGAUCCUUCAACUCAGUGGUUGUUUUGGAUUUUUAUUCACGCCUUACAAAUACAAGUCAUUUUGGUACCUGCCAGCGGCCUUGCCAGACUCGAACUGCCGUGCAUCCGACGUGCUAUUUGACGAUAAAAGAGAAUAUGUUGCUUGACUAUAAUUAAAAAAAUGUGGGCACAUGCCAAUAAAAGAGGAUAUGCUGGUUUGACUCUGAUUAAAAAAAUGUUGGCAAGUGAGCGUCGAAAUAAUUAAAGAGAAUAAACCCUGGUAAAGUAGGGACUACCUGGUUACGUGCUUAUUAUACCAAAGAAACGGGAUUUCCUGCAAUUAGUACUUCAACCGGUUACACCAUCAUAGGAGAGAGUAGUCGAAGCAACUAUGCCACGAAGGUCGCCGUGCUGCACAAAAUGAGGAGGCAACCGCAACCUAGACACGGAGGCAGACUCGGAGAAAAAAAAGCGCAAGUUGGGUGGUGGCCACCACUCCAGCAACCCCAUCAAUAUCAAGAACUCGUGGGCCAAACAUGAUCUCAAGAACAUCGCCGGGGAGACCUUUUGAUGGACACAUCAAUUAUCUCUCCUGAUACUUCUCGUUAAAAAUAUCUUUCUAGUUCUAACGCACGGGCAUAUGUGCUAGUGAUAUAUAAAAUAUGUUGUGCCAAUGAGCACACGGGCUAGCGAGACUCGCCAUGCUUUCAUGUCAUACCGGAGUCCAAACACUCAACUGGAGGGUCCAACCUUAGCGACAGAGUCUUCUUUUGUUGGGAGAAUCUAUAUAUCCGCGAGUGUUAUAUCUCGCAUCUGGUUUACGCGCAGUGCACCUAACCACUAGGCUUUGCCUUACAUUCAUGACAGAGUAGUAAAGCUAGAUUGUUUAAGUCCACACGAGUCAAGGUUUUCAAUGUUUCUUCUCCAUUUUUUUUCAUUUUUUCAUUUUUGUUUUUAUAUUUAUUUCUGUCGGGUUUGUUUGAUCCCUUUCGAGGGCAUAAUAGAGGAACCACACCGUGGUGAUGUGGAUGGGUUUAUAGAUACCAUCACUGUAGGGGAAACGAGGAAGGUUUUCGAUGCACGAAUCACUAGCAUACAUUUUCAUGUUUUACGCUAAUUUGCAAUAUUUGCUAGUCGUUGCUUAAUUGGUUGCGGAAACUGUGGAAACCUUAGUGUUCCUGAUAUUAUUAUUUUGUUCCACGGUUUAUUCUGUGAUAACUCUAUUAGUAUGGGCGGUAUUAUUCCUAAAUGGUUAAGUCUGAACUGUACAAAGGGCCCCAUCUUUGGAGGCAUCUAUGCUUCACACCUAGCUGCGCAUUUUAACAUAGCUAUUAGGCAUUAUGAGAAGGAAGAAAAAUUGCUACCCCCUGUUUAUUUAGAUUAUAAUAGUAUGGUGGCACAUGAUUUUAUUGUUAAGAAUAAGGAAGGGGAGCUUAAAUACAAAUUGUUCUUUGAUAAACAUCAUCCUGAGACUAUUACCCUGCCUGCUCCUUCCUUGUUUGAUUUAUCUGCAGGCAAGUACCUCGUUCCAUUAGAGGCUAUUCACGCCUACCGAAACCCUACAUCAGCCAUAGAGCCAGAGUCGGAACCACAAGUUGAUUCUCCAUGACAGUCUAAUUACCAUUGGGAUCCAGAAAUGAUUGCCACCAGUGGCAAUCAGAGUCUUCUUCGCAGUACGACCCCAACUAUUACUAUGGAUAUCCGCCAGGCCAGCCGUGGCCAUAGACCAACUUAGGUCAAAAGCCUAAACUUGGGGGAGUACGUAUUUCCCGCCGACAUUACAUUCAUGUUCGCACACUCAUUGCUAGAUGUCGGUGCUCAUACUUUUUCAUUGUAUCAUCCAUACUAGUUCAUUUCCUUUUUAAGCUUUCUUCUUGUGUGUUUAAUAAACCUUAAGAAAAACCAAAAACAUUAGUUGUAGCUUUUAGCUAGUUUUAAUUUCCAUGCUCGUAGUAGUAAUUAAAAAGAAAACCCAAAAAAAAGAUUUCAUGUUCUUCUUUUGCUUGUUGGGAGCUUUCCCGUGUAAAUAGUUUUAUUUCUUUUCUUUUCUUUGGGGGUCGAUAGGAGAAGACCAUGAUUAAAUUGUUGAAGUGGCUCUUAUAUGUAUUUUUGUUGAUCUGACAAAAGAGCCCAUAUUGCCUCGACUUCUCCUGUUUAUUGAAUGCUUGCAGAUUCCAGCUUAGUCCAAUGCACGUGCACUAUUAUUAUUAUCCACAUCAUUCGGUCGUGCAAGUGAAAGGCAAUUAUGACGAUAUAUGAUGGACUGACUGAGAUGAGAAAAGCUGGUAUGAACUCAACCUGUCUUGUUUUUGUAAAUAUGAUUAGUUCAUCGUUCCUGAUUCAGCCUAUUAUGAAUAAACAUGUUUGCAAUGACAACUAGAGAUCAUAGUUUCUUGUGCCAUGCUUGAUUAGCUAGGAGCUUAUAAUGGUUUACCUUGCGUGCCAACAUGCUAUUAAAAUGGUUGUGAUGUGGUAUGAUAGGGUGGUAUCCUCCUCUGAACGAUUCGAGUGGCUUGACUUGGCACAUAUUCACGCAUGUAGUUGAAACAAAAUCAACAUAGCCUCUACGAUAUUUAUGUUCAUGGUGAAUUAUAUCCUACUCAUGCUUGCAUUCGGUGCUGAUUAAUUUUAAUGCAUGUUUAUGACUGUUGUCGCUCUCUAGCUGGUCGCUUCCCAGUCUUUUGCUAGCCUUCACCUAUACUAAGCGGGAAUACUACUUGUGCAUCCAAUCCCAUAAACCCCAAAGUUAUUCCAUAUGAGUCCACCAUACCUACCUAUUUACGGUAUCUACCUGCCGUUGCAAGUAAAUUUGUAUGUGCCAAACUCUAAACCUUCAAAUAAAUAUCAUGUUUUGUAUGCUCGAAUAGCUCAUGUAUCAACUAGGUUUGUCUGUAUCUUUCAUGUUAGGCGGGUUAUUCUCAAGAGGAGUGGACUCCGCUCCUCACUCGCGAGAAAAUGGCUGGUCACCCGGAUGCCUAGUCCCAUGCUUUAUGCAAAUCAAAUCAAAAUAAUUGCAAACAAAAUUGCCCCUGGGACUCUUGUUAGUUGGAGGCACUCGUUGUUUCGAGCAAGCCAUGGAUUGAUGCUUGUUGGUGGAGGGGGGGUAUAAAAUUUUCCAUUCUGUUUGGGAACCGCCUAUAAUGUGUGUAGCAUGGAAGAUAUCACCAUCUCUUGGUUGUUAUGUUGACAAUGAAAGUAUACCGCUCAAAAUAUUAUUUACCUCUAUUUCAAAAUCGAGCUCUGGCACCUCUACAAAUCCCUGCUUCCCUCUGCGAAGGGCCUAUCUAUUUACUUUUAUGUUGAGUCAUCAUCCUCUUAUUAAAAUGCACCAGUUGGAGAGCACCGUUGUCAUUUGCAUUCAUUACUAUUAUUUUACAUUGAAUAUGACUUGACUGGAUCUCUUUUACCAUGAAUUACAAUGUCUAGUCAGUCCUUGAUCUUUAAAGGUGCUCUACAUUUAUGUUUUGCGGUCUCAGAAAGGGCUAGCGAGAUACCAUCUUGUUAUAUCAUAUCAUGAUUGUUUUGAGAAAGUGUUGUCAUCCGAGAUUUAUUGUUAUUGCUCGCUAGUUGAUUAUGCCAUUGAUAUGAGUAAACAUGAUACAUAAAUGUUAUUGGAAUAUGGUUAGUUCAUAAUCUUUGCUGAAAACUUGAAUGCUGGCUCUACAUAUUUACAACAACAAGAGCAAACAGAGUUUGUAAAAGUUUUUCUUUAUCACUUUCAGUUUAUCAACUGAAUUGCUUGAGGACAAGCAAAGGUUUAAGCUUGAGGGAGUUGAUACGUCUCCGUCGUAUCUACUUUUCCAAACACUUUUGCCCUUGUUUUGGACUCUAACUUGCAUGAUUUGAAUGGAACUAACCCGGACUGACGUUGUUUUCAGCAGAAUUGCCAUGGUGUUAUUUUUGUGCAGAAAUAAAAGUUCUCGGAAUGACCUAAAAAUCAAAGGAGAAUUAUUUUGAAAUAUAUAAAAAAUAUUGGAAGGAAGAUCCACGUCAGGGGGGCCUCCACCUGUCCACGAGGGUGGAGAGCGUGCCCUACCCCCCUGGUGCUACCUCUUGAGCACUGCGUUGGUUUUCCCUUGAAGAGGAAAGGGUGAUGCAGUAAAGUAGUGUAAGUAUUUCCCUCAGUUUUUGAGAACCAAGGUAUCAAUCAAGUAGGAGAUCACGCUCGAGUCCCGCGCACCUACACAAACAAAUAAGAACCUCGCAACCAAUGCAAUAAAGGGGUUGUCAAUCCCUUCACGGUCACUUACGAGAGUGAGAUGUGAUAGAUAGGAUAAGAUAAUAUUUUUGGUAUUUUUAUGAUAAAGAGAAAUAAAGAUGCAAAGUAAAAUAAACAGCAAUAGAAAUAACUAAGUAUCACCUGGGCGCACCCCCCUGCCUCGUGGACCCCCUGACGCUCCACCGACCUCAACCCUGACUCCAUAUAUUCACUUUCGGGGAGAAAAAAACCAGAGAGAAAGAUUCAUCAUGUUUUACGAUAUGGAGCCGCCGCCAAGCCCUAAACUCUCUCGGGAGGGCUGAUCUGGAGUCUGUUCGGGGCUCCGGAGAGGGGAAUCCGUCGCCAUCGUCAUCAUCAACCUUCCUCCAUCACCAAUUUCAUGAUGCUCACCGCCGUGCGUGAGUAAUUCCAUCGUAGGCUUGCUGGACGGUGAUGGGUUGGAUGAGAUUUAUCAUGUAAUCAAGUUAGUUUUGUUAGGGUUUGAUCCCUAGUAUCCACUAUGUUCUGAGAUUGAUGUUGCUAUGACUUUGCUAUGCUUAAUGCUUGUCACUAGGGCCCGAGUGCCAUGAUUUCAGAUCUGAACCUAUUAUGUUUUCAUCAAUAUAUGAGUGUUCUUGAUCCUAUCUUGCAAGUCUAUAGUCACCUACUAUGUGUUAUGAUCCGGCAACCCCGAAGUGACAAUAAUCGGGACCACUCCUGGUGAUGAUCGUAGUUUGAGGAGUUCAUGUAUUCACUAUGUGUUAAUGCUUUGGUCUGGUACUCUAUUAAAAGGAGGCCUUAAUAUCCCUUAGUUUCCGCUAGGACCCUGCUGCCACGGGAGGGUAGGACAAAAGAUGUCAUGCAAGUUCUUUUCCAUAAGCACGUAUGACUAUAUUCGGAAUACAUGCCUACAUUACAUUGAUGAAUUGGAGCUAUUUCUGUGUCACCCUAGAUUAUGACUGUUACAUGAUGAACCGCAUCCGACAUAAUUCUCUAUCACCAAUCCAUUGCCUACGAGCUUUCCAUAUAUUGUUCUUUGCUUAUUUACUUUUCCGUUGCUAUUGCUAUCAUCACUAUAAAACAACAAAAACAUUACUUUUGCUAUCGUUACCUUUUGCUACCGUUACCACUACUAUCAUAUUACUUUGCUACUAAACACUUUGCUGGAGAUAUUAAGUUUCCUGGUGUGGUUGAAUUGACAACUCAGCUGCUAAUACUUGAGAGUAUUCUUUGGCUCCCCUUGUGUCGAAUCAAUAAAUUUGGGUUCAAUACUCUACCCUCGAAAACUGUUGCGAUCCCCUAUACUUGUGGGUUAUCAUUGCUCCUGCAGCGGGUCUUGCACCUAGCGGUGCUUCUAGGACGUAAUUCUUCUGUGUAGCAAUGAGGAUAAUUCUCAAGUUAUGGACCCAGUCCGUGUAGUUGCUACCAUCAUCUUUCAACUUAGCUUUCUCUACGAACGCAUUAAAAUUCAAAGGAACAGUAGCAGGGGCCAUUGAUCUACAAUAACAUAGACAUGCAAAAUACUAUUAGGUGCUAAGUUCAUGAUAAAUUAAAGUUCAAUUAAUCAUAUUACUUAAGAACUCCCACUUAGAUAGACAUCCCUCUAGUCAUCCAAAUGAUCACGUGAUCCAUAUCAACUAAACCAUGUCUGAUCAUCACGUGAGAUGGAGUAGUUUCAAUGGUGAACAUCACUAUGUUGAUCAUAUCUACUAUAUGAUUCACGCUCGACCUUUCGGUCUCAGUGUUCCGAGGCCAUAUCUGCAUAUGCUAGGCUCGUCAAGUUUAACCCGAGUAUUCUGCGUGUGCAAAACUGGCUUGCACCCGUUGUAUGUGAACGUAGAGCUUAUCACACCCGGUUAUCACGUGGUGUCUCGGCACGAUGAACUAUAGCAAUGGUGCAUACUCAGAGAGAACACUUGUACCUUGAAAUUUAGUGAGAGAUCAUCUUAUAAUGCUACCGCCGUACUAAGCAAAAUAAGAUGCAUAAAGGAUAAACAUCACAUGCAAUCAAAAUAAGUGAUAUGAUAUGGCCAUCAUCAUCUUGUGCCUUUGAUCUCCAUCUCCAAAGAACCGUUAUGAUCACCAUCAUCACCGGCUUGACACCUUGAUCUCCAUCGUAGCAUCGUUGUCAUCUCGCCAACUAUUGCUUCUACGACUACCGCUACCGCUUAGUGAUAAAGUAAAGCAAAAACAAGUGUGAUGUCCUCUACUUUGUUGUUGCAAGUUUUACGUGGCUGCUACGGGCUUCUAGCAAGAACCGUUCUUAUCUACGCCUCAAAACCACAACAAUUUUUCGUCAAGUGUGUUGUUUUAACCUUCAACAAGGAUCGGGCGUAGUCAAACUCGAUUCAACUAAAGUUGGAGAAAUAGACACCCACUAGCCACCCGUGUGUGAAGCACCUCGGUAGAACCAGUCUCAUGAACGCGGUCAUGUAAUGUCGGUCUGAGCCACUUCAUCCAACAAUACCGCCAAAUCAAAGUAAGACGUUGCUGGUAAGAAGUAUGACUAUUAUCGUCCACAACUCAUUGUGUUCUACUCAUGCAUAUAACAUCUACGCAUAGACCUGGCCCGGAUGUCACUGUUGGGAAACGUAUUAUUUCAAAAAAAAAUCCUACAAUCACGCAAGAUAUAUCUAGGAGAAGCAUAGCAAUGAGCGGGGAGAGUGUGUCCACGUACCCUCGUAGACCGAAAGCGGAAGCAUUUAGUAACACGGUUGAUGUAGUCGAACGUCUUUGCGAUCCAACCAAUCCAAACACCUAACGUACGGCACCUCCGCAUUCAGCACACGUUCAGCUCGAUGACAUCCCUCGAGCUCUUGAUCUAGUUGAGGCCGAGGGAUAGUUCCGUCAUCGCGAUGGCGUGGCGACGGUGAUGAUGAAGUUACCGGCGCAGGGCUUCGCCUAAGCACUACGACGAUAUGACCGAGGUGUGUAACUGUGGAGGGGGGCACCGCACACGGCUAAGAGAAACUUGUGUCUUUGGGGUGCCCCCUCCCACGUAUAUAAAUGGAGGGAGGAGGCCGGCCCAAGGGGGGGCGCCACAUGUGGGGAGUCCUACUAGGACUCCCUUGUCCUAGUAGGAUUCCCCUCUCCUUUCCUUUUACGGAGGGGGAAAGGGGGGAAGGAGAGGAGGGGAAGAGGGAAAGGGGGGCACGCCCCCUCCCCUUCCUAUUCGGACUCCACUUGGGGGGGACGCGCACGCCUCCCCCUUGUGGGUUGUCCCCUCUUCUCUCCCAUGGCCCAUAAGGCCCAUGAUUUCCCCCAGGGGGUUCCCGUAACCUCCCGGUACUCCGAAAAAAUUCCCGAAUCACUCGGAAUCAUUCCGAUGUUCAAAUGCAACCUUACAAUAUAUGAAUCUUUACCUCUCAACCAUUUUCGUGAUCUCAUCUGGGACUCCGAACAAACUUCAGUCAUCAAAUCACAUAACUCAUAAUACAAAUUGGCAUCGAACGUUAAGUGUGUGGACCCUACGGGUUUGAGAACUAUGUAGACAUGACCGAGACACAUCUCCGGUCAAUAACCAAUAGCGGAACCUAGAUGCUCAUAUUGGCUCCUACAUAUCUACGAAGAUCUUUAUCGGUCAAACCGCAUAACAACAUACGUUGUUCCCUUUGUCAUAUGUAUGUUAUUUGCCCGAGAUUCGCUCGUCGGUAUCCUCAUACCUAGUUCUAUCUCGUUACCGGCAAGUCUCUUUACUUGUUCCAUAAUGCAUCAUCUGGUAACUAACUCAUUAGUCACAUUGCUUGCAAGGCUUAUAGUGAUGUGCAUUACCGAGAGGGCCCAUAUAUACCUCUCUGAUACACGGAGUGACAAAUCCUAAUCUCGAUCUAUGCCAACUCAAGAAACACCAUCGGAGACACCUGUAGAGCAUCUUUAUAAUCACCCAGUUACGUUGUGAUGUUUGAUAGCACACUAAGUGUUCCUCCGGUAUUCGGGAAUUGCAUAAUCUCAUAGUCAUAGGAACAUGUAUAAGUCAUGAAGAAAGCAAUAGCAAUAAAAUUAAACGAUCAUUGUGCUAAGAUAACGGAUGGGUCUUGUCCAUCACAUCAUUCUCUAAUGAUGUGAUCCCGUUCAUCAAAUUACAACACAUGUCUAUGGUUAGGAAACUUAACCAUCUUUGAUUAACGAGCUAGUCUAGUAGAGGCAUACUAGGGACACUCUGUUUGUCUAUGUAUUCACACAUGUACUAAGUUUCCGGUUAAUACAAUUUUAGCAUGAAUAAUAAAGAUUUAUCAUGAUAUAAGGAAAUAUAAAUAACAACUUUAUUAUUGCCUCUAGGGCAUAUUUCCUUCAGGAAGAGCAUUGCGGGUGGGAGGGAGAAGGGGAAUUAAGAGAGUGUAGGUUUCGGUUUGGGCCUCCGCGCGCUAUGUGUACACAUGUGUUGGUGGGUCAAUAGUAGUGGCGCCAGGUUUAUACCCCACACUACUACUAUGGCCUAUCCCGGGGGUACGAUAGAGACCACUUAGUAGUAGCGAGGGAUUUAUACCCCUCGGUACUACUAUCAACUUAGUACUAGUGAGGGAUUUAUACCCCUUGCUACUACUAUCAACUUAGUAGUAGUGAGGGAUUUAUACCCCUCGAUACUACUAUGGCCAGUCCCGGGGGGCACGGUGGAGACCACUUAGUAGUAGUGUGGGGUUUAUACCGCUCGCUACUACUAUCAACUUAGUAGUAGCGUGGGUUCUAUACCCCUCUCUACUAAUAAUUAGCAGCAGUGUGGCCCAUAUACCCCUUGCUACUGUUAAGCAUCUAUCUAUAAAUUAUUUUCUAGUAGUGCAUCAAUGGCGGCGAAAUCAGUCAUUCUGCUUGUUUUCCCUACUAGCUCUCUGACGUCCAGAACAAGUUUACGGUCAUAAGGUGCAAUGCCCUUGCCUUCAUGAGUGACACGAUGACACGGGAACGGGCUUCCAAGCCUAUGGUGUCGCAUCGUGUCGUGGUCUGCUAAACUUAGUGGACGGAUGCUACUCCAAUAUCGGUUGAUCCUAUACUACGGUACCAAGGAAGACACGCAACUACUAUAUAUAUUUCUUCAAGUCAGUCAACACAAGUAAACUCUGGGAGUUCAACUGGUGCAGCUAUGCAAUGCUAAUGGAGACAACACAAUUCAACUUUAGCACUUCACACAUAAGAAAAACCACGUUCAAUGGCACACACCUUAGAGUGUACCUAUGGUGGUUGAAUGGGCUAUAAGAAAUGUGAGUCCAUGUGAAGAUGCCAAACAUAAUAACACGGCUAAUUACACAUGCAGUGGCAGCAGCAACAAGUGCGUGAAUUCAACAAAUGAUCUAGGGUACACAUGCAACGGUGUCCUUGAGUAUGACAACAACCCUUAUCUUCUAGACAAAUGCAUGGUAUGCUACUAAUUUAUUUGCUACAAAUUCCAAUGAAUUGUGUCCUUUGCUUUGUACAUACCCAAUUAUAAUAUUUUAUUAUGCUAAUACAAUGUAGCCUUCAAUUUAAACCAAGGUUUGCAUCCAUUAAUUAUGUUAGGUUCAUAUGACUUCACUACAUAAAUAGGUAGAUAAUGCAUAAGACUGAGAUUGUAGCUAGGGAUGAAAAUCUAAAUACGGCAUGAAUCUAACAAUUAUGAGUAAUGUCUUUGUGACAAGAACUUUCUUUGUCUUUUAUUCCCAUGUUUGAACUAGUAUAGGUCAGGGUUACACAUUAUGGUGCACAUCACUUUAUUUGUCACCGUUACAUUGAACACCCAUUGACUAAACAACGAUAAUCCAUCCGUCUUGUAUUACAGGUCUUCAUUUCAUUGGCCACCGAUGCUUGUAAGACUACUCCCAGAUGGUUGUUGUUGUGGAUAUGGUUGUUGAGGUUGGUGUGGUUGCUGGGGGAAUGGUUGUUGGGGUUGCUGGGAAAUUGUUUGUUCUAGUUGCUGGGAUAAUUGUUGUUGGGGCUGCAAAAAUGGUUGUUGUGGUUGCAGGAUGGAUGGUUGCUGGGGUUGGGGCUGGGGAAAUGAUUGUUGUGAUUGUUGGGGUUGCUGGGAAAAUGGUUGUUGCGGUUGAAGGGGGAAUGGUUGUUGUGGUUAUAGAGGGAAAGGUUGUUGUGGUUGUUGAGGGAAUGGUUGUUGUGGUUGUUGNNNNNNNNNNNNNNNNNNNNNNNNNNNNNNNNNNNNNNNNNNNNNNNNNNNNNNNNNNNNNNNNNNNNNNNNNNNNNNNNNNNNNNNNNNNNNNNNNNNNNNNNNNNNNNNNNNNNNNNNNNNNNNNNNNNNNNNNNNNNNNNNNNNNNNNNNNNNNNNNNNNNNNNNNNNNNNNNNNNNNNNNNNNNNNNNNNNNNNNNNNNNNNNNNNNNNNNNNNNNNNNNNNNNNNNNNNNNNNNNNNNNNNNNNNNNNNNNNNNNNNNNNNNNNNNNNNNNNNNNNNNNNNNNNNNNNNNNNNNNNNNNNNNNNNNNNNNNNNNNNNNNNNNNNNNNNNNNNNNNNNNNNNNNNNNNNGAAUGGUUGGUGGGGAAUUAUUUGUUCUGGUUGCUGGGGAAUUAUUUGUUCUGGUUGCUGGGGGAAUGGUAGUUGGGGUUGGGGAAAUGGUUGUUGGGGUUGCUGGGGGAAUGGCUGUUGUGGUUGCAGAGGGAACGAUUGUUGGGUCUGGGGAAAUGGUUGUUGUGGUUGCCAGGAAAAUGGUUGUUGGGGCUGUGGAAAAGGUUGUUGUGGUUGUUGGGGUUGCUGGGGGAAUGGUUGUUGUGGUUGUAAGGGGGUCGGUUGUUGGGGUUGGGGAUAUAAUUGUUGUGAUUGCUGGAGAAAUUGUUGUUGGGGUGUGGAAAAU
rnacentral:lncRNA from 1 species